UUUUUUUUUUUUUUUUUUUUCCCUAAUGGAAUUCUAGAUCUUACAAACCAAAAAGGAAAAAAAAAAAAAGAAACACAGAAUAAUUGUCAAAUUAGAAACCUCACAGUAAUACUUCUUACAAUAUGAUGCCCGUGAGAUGAAACGAUGAUUAAGAAAUAUAUUUAUAAAAGAUGCCAAAAGAAUUUAUCAAAUAAUACCAAAAGGAUGUGAAUCCAAAUGGACUUGGUUACUAGCUAAGCUACAUUUUGGAGAUCCUUCCAUCAUUUUUGUUUGUAAGAAGCCAUUAGAAAAUUGUAAGACUUGAUUUUGUAAAUUAAAUCAUGGGGACUGAAUUGAGAUUCUGAAAUACAGAAAGGACUGAAUUAUAAUUAUUUUUUUUUUUUUUUUUGGGGAAGGCGUUAUUCGAGCUCAUUUUGACUUUAUCCAAGUUUGUCCUUUUGUCCCAAGCAUUUUAUUGAGGUGUUGAUCCAUUGCCGCUAUUUCACCUGUCACUGGAAAUCCUCACGCCCCAUUUACUCCAAAAUGGUGCAAAUUUCAAGCACUACCAAUAUUCAGCCCCCACAAAUUAAAGUAAAAACAUGGACAAAAGAGAAACUGAGACUCUAUUGAAUCAAAUUAAAUGGGGAAAAGACUUUCAGACAAACCAUAACAAUUCAACAAAUCAAGAUUAGAUGGCUCCUUUGUAACUUACUAUAACCACCAAUAGACACCCUUUCAUUCUAGUUAUAGACGAAGAUGCCACAUUUGUAAAAGGGAAUAAUGCGCCAACUCAUUGCCCCAAAAAAUCAAAUCCUCGUGCCAUUAAAAUAUUGUGAUUCUCCAAAUAACCCUAACUCCUACCACUAAGAAAAAGUAGCUGUUUGGAUUGUUAUUUUCUGGAGUUUCUGUAAAAUAUAUAUAUAUAUAUAUAUAUAUAUUAUAGCGAUUUGAUUUGUAUAAGGUGAAAAGGUAAUUAGAAAAUGUAUUUAUGAAAAAUAUACAAAUUUUUCGGGGGAAAAUGUCUUUCCAAAAUAAAACUCAUUCACGUGUUAAUUUGGCUUGUUAUUUUUUAAAGAAAAGAUUUUUACGUUUUCCGUCAAUGCAUUUGUCAAUCACUUUUUUUUUAUAUAUAUAUCUUACAUGCAUCAAAUCGUUGUAACACAUUCUUUCUUUCUGUGAAGAUUUCAAAAAAUAGCAAUCCAAACGGGUUAAAAUCAACGAAAAAUAAAAAAAAAUGUAAAUACAAAAUAGUGAUAGAACCUAAGAAAGAUUAAUGAAUGUGUGACAGAUGAAAUUAAGAAAGUAAUUAUUACUGCAUCUAAAUCCAUUCAUCGUAUAAACACCAAAACACAAAUUAACUAAAAUCAAUGAAAAAUAGUAAAAGACAAUAAAAAUUAUAUGAUAAGACCUAAGAGUGAAUAUGUAACACAUGAAAAUGAAAGGGGGAAAAAAUAAUCAAUAAAUAAGUGCAAAUAAAUACUAGAAAGGAAAGAAGGAGGUCGGUUCCUUGCACCCAACGUAUCUCUUGGUUUUGCCUCGGACUUUGGUUCGGAAUUUGCUUAUGUAUAUGACUUUGAAAGGAUAAGAACAACCCUACCCCCUCUACUACCACCUCCACCCCAGUCCCAUACCAGACCCUCUUCCCUCCCUCUUUCUCUACAACUUUCUCUACAAGUACCCUGCCUCCCUCUCUCCGCCUCCACUUUCUUAGCCCCUCUCCUUAACCCAACAGUCUCUCUCUCUCUCUCUCUCUCCACGAAAUCGCUGAAACACUUACACGCACAACACACACUAGAAUAAAAUCAGCACUCCUCACCCAAGAGAAGUCCAUAAAUGCAUUCAGUAGAAGAAGAAAAUUAGUCCACUCUUCUUUAUACAUAUUGCAAAUACUGGUAAGAAGAAGAAAAGAAACGCUUGCUUAGGCAUUUGCUACAAAUCAUCGAGACUUUCAAGCUGGCGAUCGAAAAUCAAGAAUCAACUGUUCCCCGCGAAUUCAAGCCCAAAAACAGACGCAUCAUGGUAUUGCCAUUUUUCAAUACUAACUGAAUUUGUACAGCAAUCUUGGAGUUUUUUUUGAGAAAAUGGGAAUUUUUGGUCUGUUUUUGGCUGACUUUUCUGAGUCUUGGUUUCUGGUAGGGAGCUGGAGGGCCUGAUGAGGAGGAUAACAGAUGGCCACCGUGGUUGAAGCCUUUGUUGAGGGAACAGUUCUUUGUCCAAUGCAAAAUGCAUGCUGAUUCUCACAAGAGCGAAUGCAAUAUGUAUUGCUUGGACUGUAUGAAUGGGGCUCUCUGUUCUCUCUGUUUGGCCUCUCACAAGGACCAUCGCGCCAUUCAGGUUUGAUUUCAACGAUUUUUGGUGGAAUUUCUUUGGUUCUUCCUCUUUUUUUACCCAAUUUUGGCAUCUGGGCUUCUGCCAUUUUUGUCAAAGUUGCAGCUUUUUGUAUCAGUCCUCCUCUUUUUGCUACUAAUAGCAUUAGAAAGAAAAUUCCCAAAUCCUUCAAAUUCCACCUUUUUCUAGUAUUGUCCAAUUUCUUUACAAUAAUCUCUUAGCUUCAUUUCCGCAUCCCUUUUCAGUUUUUGAACCGUUGACUUCAGAAAUGGCAUUUUUGUAUUCAAUGGGUCGAGUCAUUUUUGUUUCACUGCUGAUGAGUGUAUCGAUUUGAAUAAGCCUAAAAGGGUUGAAUGUGUAUUGACGUCCGGUGCUGUUUCUCUGUGUGUGUGUUUUUUUUUGGCCUGAUGAUGAACAGAUAAGGAGGUCAUCCUACCAUGAUGUGAUCAGGGUGAAUGAGAUUCAAAAGUACUUGGAUAUCUCAUCGGUUCAAACCUACAUUAUCAACAGUGCCAAAGUCGUGUUCUUAAAUGAGAGGCCUCAGCCUAGGCCUGGCAAAGGCGUCACCAAUACUUGUGAAGUCUGUGAGAGAAGCCUUCUUGAUUCCUUCAGAUUCUGCUCUCUUGGCUGCAAGGUAAAUGUCCAUCAAUUUCCAUUGGAACCCAGGAUCCUUCCUUUUCCACUAUUAAUGUCAUCCCAAAAGUUGAAUUGUUCCAAUCAAAUUGGGGGUCUCUGAGAUCAAUGGGCUGUGUUUCUUGUAAAUUGUGAAAAUGAUGAAUGAGCAUUGGAGGCUGUUUUGGCAUUAACGCUAAAGUCAAGAUUUUUGGUAAUUUGUAAAGACCAAAAAGAAUUGAAUAGUAGUCAUUUGUUUUGAUUAAUAUAACUUGAUGGUUGGUUUUGAUUUUUUUCAGAUUGUGGGGACAUCCAAGAAUUUCCAGAAGAAGAAGAAGCAUUCCCCUGAGAAGAAAAGGGCACUGAUGGCGGCAGCUUCUGAUUCUGAGGACUCCUAUAGCAGCAGCAGCCAUGGAGGAAGGCACAAGAGCCCGAGCAGUAGCAAUGGGAAGGUUCAGAGCUUUAGUCCAUCAACCCCACCUCCAACUGCUGUUAAUUACAGAACAGCCAAGAGAAGGAAGGGAAUUCCCCACAGAGCCCCAACUGGAGGAAUAGUUAUUGAAUAUUAGCCCCUGCUUAUAUGUCUUAAUUAGCUUAAUACCCCAACAACUUAUACUACACCUUAGAUAUCAGAAUGGGUCUGGUCAGGAGGUCCAUUCCAAACAGAUAUAGUGCUUUUUCACCUCAAAAAGGCCAAUGUUUGGAAGGAGUUCAGCUUACUCUUAUUGUACAUAGAAGCAGCCGCUAAUAGAAAUAUGGUGAAAGUAGAUGUGGGGGCUCAAGUCGGGAAUAAGAACAAUGUGGAGGACUAAAGGGUGAAAACAGAAGUUAGAAGAACUUUUGGACUUAGAAAAUAAGCUAUUAUAGACUAUAGUUUGAAUAUGAAAUACAGUGGCUUUAAUUUAAGGGAGUGAUUAUACAUAAGCCUUUUUUUUUUCUUUUUUUUUUUUAAUAUUUCUUAAUAGUUAUGGUAAAGAUGUAAAUAUGGUUUUGUAGUAGGGUUAGCAAUGGGAUAACAAUGUACCCCUUGAAAAUACUUUUAUGCUGUUUAUAUAUGGAAUGGAAUAAUAUUUUAUAAUGUAUUUUUUUUUUUUGAAGAAAAAAAAAGAGUCUUCUUGGUGCUUUAAAUUUCUGAGCAUUGCAUUGUUGUUAUUUUGGGAAAGUCUUUUUGGACGGUCGAGGUAACUCCAGAUGAAUGGGGCCCACGGCGGCCGCCUCGUGGGAUUGGUAGAAAGAAAGGCGGUAUCAAGCCCAUUACGUGUCAUCUUCUGGUUGGUUCGUGGAAAGCCAUGUGUCUUGGUUCGCGGAAUCAUGAAUUAGGUCAGCCGCCCUUUGAUAUAAUGCGGUUUCUUGGUGGAGGGGUUUUUCUUAUUGCUCCUAAGAGUUUAGUGGGGUGGGAUUCGUUGUGGGCCGUCCGAUUGGAUUCAACGGUGGCGAUCUUUUGGGGCUUUAUCGUUGAGUGGGGUGGUUUCUUUGAGAGAGAGCUUUUCUUGUUUGUGAUUUCGUGGCCUUUUGUUUUGAUACUUGAAAGAAAUGAUUUUGACAUGUUAUUGAAAUGGUUGGUCUAUUAAGUGGGUUUGGAUUGUGGGCAUUGGUGCCAUUGAUGACUAAUUGGAAUGGUUUUUGAUGCCAUCUAACAUUGUUGUUGUUAAGUCGAAUGUCCCUAAAAAAUCCUAUUUUCUCUUUUUUUUUUUUCUAAUUUUUUGGUAGGUUUUAGUUAACCAAAAGAAAUGUGGUUUCAUCAAUUAAGAACCUAAAUGAAAAUCCCAUAAACAAUUUGGCAAUGCUAGGGUGGAGGAUAAGUAUGCAUUGCCAUUGUUUAUUCGAGUAGUUGGGGCUUGGAGGCACGUGAAACAUGCACCCAACAUGAACAUUGAGCUCAUGGGAAAUGCCUUGAUGAGACUUAGAAAUGUGUGAAUUUGAGAUGAGAUGGGAUGGGAUUCUUAGGGUAGGAUGACUUUUGCUCCUGUGUAUGGAUGAAUCAAUUGAGCAAUUAGUGUAAUAUUUUGUGUUUGGAUUGCGUUUUUGAUGAUUUUUCAUGGAAAAAUUACUGUAGCGAUUUGAUGCAUGUGAGGGAAAAAAAUAAUAGGCAAAUGUGAUCACGGAAAACAACGUAAUUUUCCGACGAAAAACUGCAAUCCAAACAAGGCUCAAUGAUGCCUGAGAAAUAUUAAUCGCGCUCCACUUUUUGUGAAUCGUAGUUGUGCUGUUUAUUUUACCAUAUAAUUUGAUAAAUGAAAAUUAUAUAAUAAAAAUGAUAAUGGAAGUACGAUUAACAGAAAGAAAAAUGAAAUUAAACAUUUCCCUUUGUUGAAUACUGCUAAUUGUCAUAAUGAAUAGACAAUGAUAGAAUGCCAAUAUAGUCAUAAUUAACUAAAGCGUAGUCAAUAAGGAAGCGCACUCCAUGCCAUUAGUGCUGAUCUUUUUAAUAUCAAUGAAAUGAUUUUUGUUAUUUGUAAAAAAAAAAAAUGCACUAAAAGUAGUCAAUAAUGUUUUUCUUUUUCUAGCAAAGUAGCCAAUAAUGUAACUAAUUGAUAUUGCUUGUGCUAAUUGUUGUUAAUUGUCCUUGUUGGAAUCUUUAAGGGUGAGAAGAUAAAGGAGGAAAACUAUGAUGGCAUGUAGAAUCUUUUUAAGUAUUUGGUUGAAUGCAAUUUUUGAAAGGAGAAUGACAAAAAAGAAGGAAAACUAUGAUGGCAUGAGUAAAAGGACAUAUCUUGGAUCAACUUAUUUUCGUUACAAGUAUUAUCAGUAUUGCAUAGUUCAAUGAACCUACAGAUAUUUUAAAUCCUACCAGAUAUUGAAUUUAAUAGAAUACUUUUUUUUUUUUUGACAUCAGAAGAAGGUGUUCUUGCACAAUGUGUUUGUAUAGCAAAUUAUUUAUAUAAAUUUAUCCGUUUGUAUCAUAAAUACAUUUUCAAAAAUAUUUAUAUUUCAUAUAUAUCACAUUGAAAAAACAUUACAUUAUUUUUUUUCAAAAAAAAUAUUUCAAAUAAUCUCCUAUCCAGAUAAACGUAUAUUACUAAUUUUUUUUUUUAGUUCACAUCCAUAAUAAGUUGCUCUAAUUAAAUUGUUUGAGGCAUACAAAUGUAGUAAUUGAGUAGAAUCCAUGAACUUAUUAUGUUGUGCAGUACUUUUAUUCUUAUACAAAACCUAAAGAGAAUUGGAUUUAUCCUCAUUCGCCACAAAAAUUUGUUGAGAUUAUUUGCCAUAAAAUCUUUGCCAUCCAAAUUCAGAGCAUCAAAUUCACGUUAAAUGACACAUUCAAGUUGAUAAGCAUGCGUAGCUCAUCAAUGCUCCAUUAUGUUGACUUUUUAAUUUCUUUACUACCAAAUUUUUGUUGAUGCUCCUUCUUCCGUCCUUUCCUCCUUUUCACUUUCUUGAAAGCUAAAUUGUCGUUGCAGAUUAAAAAGACAAAUUUGCCCAUUCAUUAUUGGUGUGCCUAGGCGGUGCAAAGAUUCCUUUUUCUUAAUUGAAGACCUUUCUAUAGCUAUGGUCUAACAUUCUAAGUGAAUAGUACACCAUGGUUCAAUUAGUAAGAACGUCCACUUCUUCUGUUUAAGCAUGUUUAAAUCUCAUUGUCGACACGAGAACUAUAAUGACAAGCACCCUUUAUAAAUGAGCUGUAGAUUUGAAAGUAUAUCCUGAUCCUGUAAUGGUGCUCGAAGCCAAACCAUCCAAACUUUUUUCUAGUGAAACAAGCAUUACUAGUGGUUACAUGCAACAUCCCGUUAGGAAACGGUAAAGGGAAAAAGCACAAGGAAAUUAGAACAGCAAAUAAAUGGGAAAUUUGGCAAUAUUUAAUUUACCUUUCUGAUAGUCUUUUUUGGGCUUUAGAGAAAUAAAUGUGAUUCUCCUUUUUGGGUAUUUGAUACAAAAAGUGAUAAAGUUCACGUCUUUUCAAGAAAAAAGUUCUCCCCAUGUUUAAUUAAUCUAGUGUUUGGAAACGUAAGAUGUGAUGAAAUUUGGGAUUGGGCUGACUAUUAUUUGUCAAGGGGAGACAAUCACCUUUGUCAUUGUUUGGAUUGCAUUUUUCAUGGAAAAAUUACUGUAGCGAUUUGAUGUAUAUGAGGGAAAAAAGUAAUAGAAAAAUGUGAUUACGAAAAAUGACGUAAUUUUUCGACGGAAAACAGCAAUCCAAACAAGGCUAUUAAUAGCGGUAUAAAUCAAAUUGUGCUGAUAAUGUUCAACAAUCUAUUAAUAAAUUUUGCAUUUAUUAAAAAAAAAGUUCAUCAAUUAAUCAUUAUGCAGGAACCCCUGUGCAAAAUUCAAGGAGAAGGGAAAACGAAAAAGAAAAAAAAGAAAAGAAAAGAAAAGAAAGGCAAACUACAACGUUAUCCUUUAUUUAUUGUUUCCGAUAUAUGUAACCUAUAAAUUGCAAAAAUAUGCACCUCUCGUUUCUACGGAUUUUUAAACAUUAUCCCAAAGGAUCCUGUCUUCUGAGUGUUGGAUAAAAAGCAUCAUCCAAAGACAUUUUGUCAAAUGCUUUUCAAUUUUUUUUCCUUUUUUUUUUUCAAUUUCUUUGAUUUAAACACUGCACUAUUUCUUUCUGAAUUUAAUAAGCACCUAUCUCAUCUAAUAAUAAUUGCAAAUUCACAGAAUCGAGAUUUAUCUACAAUCACUGUUGUAAAUGUAAUCACACUGAAAAUUCCAACAAAGGACGAAGCAGAUUUCAUUAGAAAGCUCCUUUAUACCAGUACUACUACUUUUUAUCAUAGACCCCUCCAACUUUGACUGUGAUCUAAAAGUCCUUACAAUCAAAAGCGAGGAAAACACAUCGAACAAGUGUUGGAACUCACAAAAAGGAAAAGAUCCGAAACUGACAAGUGGCUGAUGAUUCCUUCCUUAACCGUUUUUUCUGGUAUUUUGCAUUCCUUUCAUGACUUCAAUAUAUAUAUAUAUAUUUAUUUAUUUAUUAUUAUUAUUAUUUUUUCUUAGUCGAACUCAACUAGUAGUAUUAAUUUGUACGAAGGAGAUUUGCAGCACGUAACCUGCCUUGUCUCUUUCAGCCCUUUAGUUUUAUUUAUUUUUUUUUCUUUUCUUGGUAAUGAAAAAUUACAAAUGGUCAAAAUUGCGUGAGCAAUGAAGGGCCAGGUGGCUCAAUGACUACGCGUCAAAGUGUGCCACCGCAUCAAGAACGGUGGUGGGUGGUGGGGACUCUUUGAAGUAUGUGGUAUCGAUUCCUUGGCGGAACCGUCCACCUGUGGGAGGAAUCUUCCUUCCUUCCUUUUUUUUCUUUCAUUAUAUAUAUUUUGCCUGUGAGGCCUCUGCCCCCUCUCGAGUCCUUAACUCAGAGUGGAAGAUGGCGAUAGAUUAGCGGCAACACGUACCGCGUUAUUAUGUGACUCAUCACACGUGCACUCAUCAACUAGCUCAAAUUAAUUAUCCUUUCUAUUUGUACGAAAACAGAUGCAGAUAUCUAUAAUUUAUAUCCCAAAAAAAAAAAAACUAUUAUCCCUUUUAUUCAUUCCUAGGAUCUUCAAGUUUCCAAUCACUAAAUUGUUAGGAAAUUGGUUUAAUUUCUUUUAAACAAGUUUUUUAUUCGGUGUAAAAGUAACUAGUUUUCUAAUUGAUUUUAGUUGCUUGAAGUAGCAGUCAAGAAAUUUUCUAUUUGUAUGAGUGUAGGAAUAGGAGUUAUUUCCUACUCUGAACUAGUACAGGAAUUAGUAUUGGUUUCUAAUUGUUAUUUGGCUUUUGACUAAAUAAUAUUAUUUAUAAAUAGGUGGGUUGACAUACAACACAAGAGAUACACAAGGGGCACACAAGAGACGACAUGCAACCUUAUACAUGAGUGGCGAGAGGAGAUUCUUGAGAGAUGAGAGAUGACAUACAAGAGUUGGGUUUGAGUUCAAAUUGUAUUCUUGUAUAGGAUUUUUCUUUCAUAAUAAAGAACGGAUUUCUCUCUGUGGGCGUAGGCUUAAUGGUGGAGUCGAACCAAAUUAAAUAUUGUGUGUCGUUUAUAUUUCGUGCUUGUGAUUUGUUUGUUAUUAAAUUAUUGUGUAUUUGAUAUCUCAAUAGUUGUUUAUUCCGCGUUUAGAUCAUAACAUAAAUAACUAUAAAUUUACAAUCAACGAGUACAAUAGUACGCUUAAUUUGGUCAGGAGACUGACUUUUCCCCUUUCUCUAUCGGAUGAAAGUAGCGUAACUUAUUGCUGUUAGAUGAAAAAGAAAAAAAGAUUAUGAAUUUACUAACCAUUAAAAAUUGGUUUUUGAGUUUCGGUUUCCUAAGGGCAUACAAUUAACAAACAAAAGCACGGAUGGAUUCACUGAUAAAAAUCUAACAUUAUUCAUUUAUAAAUAUUGUGUAUAUUGUUGCAGAAAAUAUUUAAUCACUUUGGGAGAGGUAAAAAAAAAAAUUUAAAUGAGAUGCUUGUUAUGAAUUCUUAUGAAUUGCGAUGGCUUUGAAGCCAAUGAAAACGAAUUGACAGACAAGCAAAGGCAAAAAGUUAGCAUUAAAACAAAACUAUAACCAUGUGCUUCAUGGACUUUUAGGGUAUGUACUUAUUAGCCCCUUCGUUUUAGUACAAAAAUUUGAAAACAGCAAACAAGUACAUAAUAGUAUGAAGACCAAUAAUUACAAACUUGUGAUUUGACUUUGGUAGUUAGGGGAAAAAGUUAUAUAAUAUAUAUAUAUAUAUAUAUAUAUAUAUAUAUAUAUAUAGCACUACUGCCUGCAUUCCUUUUAUGAUAAAUGUAAAUAUACAUUAUUAUUUUUUUUGCUUUAUCAAAUUAGUAUUCUCAUUGGAAUAUUUCAAAGAAUUUAGAUUAACAAGUUUUUAAAGUUAUUUCUUUUAUCUAAGUAUUCUAUUUAAUUUAGCAUAUAUAUAUAUAUAUAUAUAUAUUGGUUUCAACACUUUAGGUUGGGGGACCAUAAAGAAGUGAUGGUGGCCCUUCCGGGAUCGUGUAUACAUGAAUGUUGGUUACUGUGUUGAUGAGGUGCUAAAAGUAUCUGCACCGUACACCUUUCCUUUGUUCUCUCUCGACUUUUGACCGGAACCAAAUGUGUGAAAUAUGACUAUGACUCUUUACAUGUAGAAAAAGUCAUUGCCAUGGUAGGUGCAACACUUAAUUAUAUUUUGGGGAAAUGUUUUAUUUACACUCUUGUUCGGAUUGUAUUUUUUUGGAUUUUUUUGUAGAAAAAUUACUGCAAUGAUUUGAUGUAUGUGAGAAAAAAAAAUAAUAGAGAAAUGUAAUCAAGAAAAAUAACGUAAUUUUUUAGCGAAAAAUGGCUAUCCAAACAGGGCUAAUUAAACUGUCACUAUUAUUUUAAUUAGCCCCGUUUAAAAUAAUGUUGAAGGAUAGCUAAUGUCUUGCCUGCACUGAAAUGUAGGCAUCGGUGCUCAAAACAUUCGUAUUCUGCUUUUACACUCUUUUCUACCCAAAAAAGGAAAAAUCAAAAGAAUGACUUCGAAAUUGUUUGGAUUGCAAUUUUUCUUCAAAAAACUUUUACGUUUUUUUGUAAAUAUAUUUUUUAAUUAUCUUUUUAUCUUGUAUAUAGUAUCGUUAUAGUUUAUUUUUUUUAUAUAAAAAUUCUAGAAAAUAGCAAUCUAAACAGACUUGUUUCAGUGAUGAUUAAAUAGAAAAAGGGAAAAAAAAAUCCAAAAGGGCCUGCUGGAGAUGAAAAGUAUUGAAUACAUACGUUUCAAUCCUGCACUCGUGUUGGCUCUUCGAUUCAAGUUUGAGUUCAUUAAACCGUUGACUUUGAUUAGUAAUAUUUUUUUUUUAAAAUUUCGAAAGAGACUUUAAUCUUACAAUAAUAUGGUGUACUUUUCACAUACAAGUGGUGUUGAAGUUGCCUGGUUUGUUUCCAGAUCAAACUUUUCUUUUAUUAGCGUCAAACGUCAACCAUUGCGGACUGAAGCUGAAUUUUCAAUUGGAGACUAAAUUCGAUCAUUCACAAGAAUAAUUGAGCCUUAAAUUAUAUCUGUCCACAAUAAUGUCUUCUGGAAAAUGUCAAAUUGCAAGAAUUUAAUGUUGCACGGUUUCCAAAUUUUUUUUUUUCCUCUAUUGGAAUAUUGGAAUAUGCACCCCAAAUUAGUGCAUGUUCCUUCAAUUGCACUCCGAUUUUUUAUGAUGGCAGUUGGAACUGUAAAUUCCUUCUAGUAAGAGACCAUGUGAAAUGAUAAUAAGGUGUCACUAUAAAAAAAGUGGAAUCUCAUUAACCAACUUGUAUAGUAUUACUCAUAUUUUCUUUUUCACCAAAUUAUCUGGAUAGGCACUAAGCUUUUUGAAUAGUCGAGUUCUGGCUACACAACUAUAAAUAAUAUAUUUAUAUUUACUAAACUAUCAAAAGUGUAAACUUUGGGUCAUUCUGUCUAAUUUUAUCGUUAAUUCUGUCAUAUCUAACUAUUAAUAGUAUGUCUCAUGAAUUGUGUGAACUUUUAUAUCUGACAGAAUGAAUUAACGGUGGAAUCAAACGGAAUGAUUCAAAGUUCAUACUUUUAAUUAUUUAGUGAAUAAAAAUAUACUAUUAAUAGUUGAAUGACUAAAUUUUAACUAUUCAAAAAGUUCAGUGAUUACUCAAAUAAUUUGCUCUUUAUUUUUCCCCCCUUCUUUCUCUUUCUACUAUCAACUAGAAGUGGAAUACCAUCAUUUGUUGCUUUUUUUUUUUCCUUGUCAUGUUUUAAGUGGAAAGGUCAAGAAUCCACUAAACUCAACAUGGAACAUGAGGCAAUGAAAAGUGAUCUGAUGGAUUAUUGUUAUUUUUCUCUCCCCAUGUUGUUUUAGACUUUGGCCCUUGAACCCAUAUAUUCAAAUUGGCCAAAUUCUGGUUUGGACGUUUGUACUAUAGGCGCAAUUCCAAUUUAGUUUUUAAAUUUUAUUUUUGAAUAAUUUAGUCCUUAAAGUGUAAAAUCUGUCACACGCCCUGUUUGGAUUGCCAUUUUCUGCCAGAAAAUUGUGUCGUUUUCCGCGAUCACAUUUCCCUAUUACAUUUUUUCCUAACAUACAUCAAAUCGCUACAGUAUUUUUUCCAUGAAAAAUGACAAAAAAUGCAAUCGGUUCCAUAUUUUAAGGGAUGAAUUGUCUGAAAAUAAAAUGUUUGCAUUGCAUUAAAGUGGGUCUAUAAUUUAAGAGUCUAAAAUGAAAUUUAGCUUAAUUUAUUAAUUAGUAAAGAUCUGGUGAACUGAAUUGAAAAGUCAUCAUAAUGAUUCAACCUUAGACUUAAGUUCAAAAAACAUCAAAUUGUUUGUUGCUUGAGGCUAUUUUUCACACAUUUGCUUCCAAAGGAAGACAACUGAUAAGAAUUUACAAGCAAAAUGACGUAAUUGGUGAAAUACAAGGAGGACCAAAAUUAUAAUAAUUCUUUCCUUAACAAAAUGAAAGAAAAGUCAAGAACCCAAAAUCAAUACCACUCUGCACGUGUACACUGCACAACACCUACCUAUGCCAAUGUAAGAUCAAUCACAAUUGUAUGCAUAAAAAGUAUUUUUACUUUUUAUAAACAAUUGAUGUCAAAAAAAAAAUUUUUUUUUCCUUGAGUUGGUUAAAAAUGUCAACAGAUAUGUGCAAGUUGCCUGACUAGUGACUAGUACCACUUUCCUAAUUGCCAUUCUGGUCGUACCCAACCCUCUGUUGCUCACCUUCAAGGUCUAAAACUUGCACUUGGAAACUCAAGCAUUUUGGUGGAAAUUGUAGGACAACUCAUAGUCAUUUCUGCGAAAGUAUGAUAUCUAUACUGUAUACAAAGGGAAAGGGAAAGGGAAAGGGAAAGGGAAAGGGAGGGGUUGAUGUAAAUUUUUUUGUGUCACUCUGCGUUCUUUCUGAACUAUUCUCGAGAAUGAUCUACAUCUAACUUUCAAUAUAUCCUUCUUUCAAUUAAUAUAUAUAUUUCUUAUUAUUUUAUUUUUCAACUUAUUUAGUAAAUCUUAAUUUUUAUUAGUAACUAUCAAUUAUGGUUAUGAAUUAUUAUUAAAUAAUUAUUUGUUUAUAUAUUUUUUAUUUUAGUGAAUUUUCUACAUAUUUACUAUUACAACACAAAAUUAAUUUCUUAAAAAAUGGCUUUAAAUAUGCUCAAAAAAUUUUGCACUUAUUUUUUUAAUUAGUUAUGCACAUAUUUGUGUGUGCCCUGAAUACUAGGUCAAAUAAACAUGGUGGGUAGUUCUGGCAAGCAAUUUAGCUGUACCAAGAGACAAUUGGUGGACUAUAAUCAAUUGAAUUGCCAAUUCUGAUGUAAUAGAUAAUUUAUUGCAAAAAUACAAGGAAUUAUGUGGUGAAAUGUGGUGCAUUUCAAUAAGAGAAAAGCAUUUAAAACAUCCCUCACAUCAAAUGAAUUUUUUUAUCUUUUACUUCUAAAAUAUUCACUUUAUGUUCCUUAUGAAUUCAAGUUCGCAAAAUUUAAUUCCAACCAGAGUUUUUGACCAUUUUUUAGUCUAAAAUCACAAUGUGGCUCACAAGCAAUACUUUUUAUACACAAAACGUUAGAUCUCACUUUUUUAGUGAUAAAAAUAAAUAUAGAUUGGGUCAAAUCUUACUUUUUUAAGAAAAAAUAAAUAUAGUUCGAAUCAAAUUCUGUUUCUUUAGGUUCAAAAAUGAAUGUGGAUUGAAUCAUUUGUUUAAUUAUAAAUGGGAAUCAUUUGAUUAUAUAUUUGUCACAUGAUGAAUUCAGGGUAAAAAGUGGCCAAAAAUUUAGAACGGGACCAAAUUUUAUUAACUUGAUUUUGUAAAGGAUGUAAAGUUACUAUUUUUAAAAGUGAAGAGCAAAAAAAAAAUUAUUUGAAAAAUAUGAGAGACGUUUUAAACUAUUUUCCUUUUCAAGGAACCAGUAAACAAUUUAGACUUAAAAGUCAACUGCAAGGAAUAUAUGCAUGAUCAUUUUUUUAAUAGAAAAAUGUUUAGGUGAAUUCCAUUUUGGUAAUCGUUAUAGGUUAGAGCAUGCAUCCGGAAUCAUACGUUACUUACAGAAAUUCUUGCAGAUCAUCUAUCAACACGAUUUUCAGAUGGAUAGCGCGAUUCGAAUACAUGAUCUUUUUGUAAGGAAGUGGCCGUCCUUACUAAUUAAAUCAACUUGCAUUGGCAAAUAUAUGCAUGAUCAUGUAUGGAAACCAACAUAUAUUUUCCGAUCCGCCAUGUUAUGUGGUCUACUAGCUUGAUGAGCUGCCCUUUAAAAAUAGCAAGAUAAGAAGGGAAUGGAUGAUAAGGUGAUGACUUGUCUGUGUAAAAUUAGACUCAGGACAGGUGUCAGAUUAGCUUUGAGUUUCAAUUAAUGGCUUUAACAUCAAAAUACUUACAGGUGCAUCUGUUUCUUUUUGUGUAUGAUCUGGAUAGUAUACUUGGAAAAGGCCCCUUUCAAAGGCAUGCAAAAGCAAAAGAGGGGCAGCUGAUGGAUGACGAUAGCUAUGGUGCUUGGCUUUUUAUAGUUGAUCUUUUUUGGUGGCUACAAGAUAGCUCAAGAAAACAAGAUGAUGUUUUUGUUGAUGACACCUUCUAAUAUUUUAAUUUUUAUCAAGGGUUUUGAUGUGUAUCAGUUUGUGCUUUAGCCACCUUACAAAUAGAUAUAUAUACACACAUUAAAUUAGGACUAAACUAUUGACUUCAAUGACUUGCGCUUAUGAAUGAGCAAGACGUUGAUGGAAACAGACAAGGUGUAACGAGAAAUUCCUAUUGAAUGAGGCCAAAAUAUCCUCAAAUGAGGGUAAGCAACCACCACCAAACACAGCGUGGAAACUUGCGAGAAACCUGCGCACAGCAACAAGCACUAUGAGUAGGAUUGUAUUUGUAGGUCACCACAUAAUAAGCUGAGAUUUGUGUCAAAUAAAAGUAGUAAUCCUUGUUAAGACAAACGACUAUGGUACCCAGAUUAUCCUUUCUUGAAAUAGUUAAAGACCGGUUCGUAAUAGGACAACUAAUGGAUCAAGAUUAUCCUCAAAAUCUUCGUGGUUCUACUUUUAUAUUCAGUCUCACUUUUUUAUUAUCAGCUUAUUAAGGGUCUAACAAAUUGUAAUAAUAAUUUUUUUUCCUAAGGGUUUUUAAAUAAUUAUUUUUUGUCCUUAUAGGUAAUCUACCUGCCAAUCUAGAAAGAACCUUGUGAUUACAAAAUUACCAUUAAAUAUUCGAGGUUGUACGUGGAUUCAAUGUCAUUUCCUCCGGCUUGAGUGAACAGACAAAAGAAUAGAACAAAAUGCUAUUUCUUGUUUGCCUUUCAAAAAGCAGUAUACAAUACAUUACUCAAUGUUAAAUGUAUAUUUGAGUGAGGUUUUCAUGCGACUUAAAUCUCACACCAUGCGAUGUUACUACGUGCAAACAAAAUAAUAAAAAAAAAAAAGAGGUGGAUUUGAGGUUCCUUUUGUUCGUCUAGUGGCGGCCACAUAGGAGCACAAAAGGCUCAAAAAGAUAGAAGUGGAAUCCGUGUGGAUCUCACACUUCUCUUUCUAAUGGGCUAGGUUGCGUCUGACUAGCUACUUUUUCUGUGCUAUAUUUGCCAUCCCUUCUUUCUUUUGUUCUUUACACAAAUAUUAUGUUUGGCUUGUCAAUUAUGAAUCAUGUUCCACAUCAAUCCACACCACCCUAUUUCAUGCAGUCUUGGCUAAGCUCUUUCACUUUAAAAAACCAUAAGAAUUAAAUCAAGUUGCCUAAGCCCUGAUGUCAUUUAGUUUACUAAGCCUUGUGGGAUGAUAUAUAAAGUUGAGAAGCCUAUUUCAUUGCCCACAAUAUGCUGAUGUCUCCAUUUCUUUAUCUCCCUAAUGGGACCUUCAUUGAAUCCGUUGGUUAGGAUUGAUGCGUUAGUCCAUUGUCAGUUCACCAAUCUUACCUGCUUUGGCAUGUCAAAAAUGGUAUUGCCCCAUGACUCUUCUAAAGCUAUGUCCUCAUUCCCUGUUUUCCUUGACCAACUGUGUUGUAUCUUUGGGCACGAUUUUAUGAUGUUCAUUCAUUAUGUUCGACCCACAUUAUAACACCUUUUUUUUUUGUGUUUGCAUCACCCAUUAAUUUCAUUAUAGAAGCUUUUCAAUCUUAACUUAAAAGUCAUCUCUCGCUUGGAUUGCUAUUUUCUGAAGUUCUUGUAGAAAAAUAUACUGUGACAACAUAUAUAAGAGCAUUUUGGAAUCAAAAGCCUUGCGUACAGAUUAGAAUUGUGUUCUAAAUUUCCUUCACUUGCACGAGGGUUUUAAAUUGUGGAGUUGAUUUUGUGGGCACAAAUUAAGUUAGAAAUUUGGAAGUCAAUAGCUUCCUCAUCGGAUUUAACAUUUCAAGAAACAAGUGUCAAGUGACACAAGUUUUCUAUUGUGUUAAAUACAUAUUUAAGUAUUAUAAUUUAGUAUAGAAUUUAGAUAAAUAUUUGAUUUGGUAUAAAGCCAUUUAGUGAUCUGCUGAGAUUUACAUCUUGUUGAGUGGCAAACAAUCUAAAAUAACAACACAUUAAUCAACAAACCAGGAAAUAGAGAGAUGAAGGAGAAAUCCUAUGGUGGAUAUGUAGUACUUGUAAGGCUUGUGCAUGAUAGUUGUAUGGAAUGAUAAAAAGGCUAAAUCAACAACUAGUUAGUUAACAUAGGUGGUGAUAUAAAAUUGUGAGGAGAUAAAUGCAAUUUUAGAAACUAUAAGGGGGUCCUUGUAGAAGAUGAUUUAGAUGGAUGAUUAAUGUAAGCCUUUGCAUUCAUCUUAUUUAGUUAGGUCUUGGUGUGGGUGGUUAUCAAAAUCAUUCAUGUUUAAACUCUAAAAUUUAUUAUUUGCAUAAUUAACUUUCAUCAUUACUUACAUAUGUUAUUUAAAGAAAUGUAGAUUCUCAUAAUAUCAUUGCACACUAAGUAAUUGGAAAAUCAAGUUGCAAUGCUUUUAGGAUCAUAAUCAUGUCCUUGUUUGUGAAUUGUGAUAAUACAAUAUGCCGUACAUCACAAUAAUUUGGACAUCAAAAAAGUCGCAAAAGAAUUUUUUGGGCAGACAAUAAUGACGAUAAUCAGGCCAGCCCAAUUUAUUGGGCCUUGAGAGACCAACCCAAGACUAGUAUCCAAGUCAAACUUUGAUUGGCAAAAAAUGGAAUGAUGAUGAAGCAGCUUUCUUGGUGGGACCAAAUGCCAAGACCAAGAGACAAACCCUUCGCAAGUGGUAAGAGAUAAGAGUGAGGGGGUUAUAAUACAUUUUUAGCAGAAAUAAUGUGAGACCGGUCACUUUACAAAAUGCCAAUCAAUUAAAUAUAGUGAUGCAACUGCAUCUCUAAUUUCAUAUCAUACAAUGCACAUCCCAAACUCUUCCACCGCCCCUUGCUUCAAGUUGAAAGGUGGGGAUCACAUAGCUUUCAACAAAUGGGGAGAAAGUACAAGUCAUGAAACACAAGUUGCAUUAGACACUCCUAGAAAGCAAACUUGUCUUUAUUUCAACCAAUAAUUUCAUAGAUAGUAGAUACAUAUGCUGUGAGAACUCCACCACUGACAGUUGCGUUGAUAGGCGAUCUGUAAAUAUCCCUGUAAGUGAUCUAUAAUUCUAGAGAUAUGCCUUAAUUUAUGAUGAUGAUGAUUGAAACUGAAUCCAAUCAAACUUUUCGUACCAAAAUAAAAAUACAUAUAUUCUCUUCCAACAAGAGUUCGUUAUUAUUGGACAAUUUUUUUGAUUGUUUUUUAAUAUCGAUGUUGUUUUUUUUUGUCAUUUUACCUUUCGAUUGAGACCUACAUUGGAUAAGAACUAAGACUUUCGUCUAAUUUGUUCACCCUUAUUCUCCACAAUUGAGGAAUAAUGGUGAUUUGGAUCUCCAACUCGUGAAUUUUUAAUUGAAGUUAAGAGCUGAGAAAAGUAUCAGCACUUUCCAUGCUACAAUUCUUUGUUUUUUUUUUUUUAGGAGCAAACCCAUUAAUUUUUUCAAUGUAUCAGAAAAGUUUAUACAAAGACAUGGAGUCUAAAGUGGACUAUAACAAGAGAAAACACAUAUAAAUAGAGGCCUAAGACUAGCACCAUAGACAGUUACUCUUAUCUAUCUUCCCUGAAAUUUAAUCUCUCAGUUUUGUCUGCUAAAUUUUAGUGUCUUGUAGUAUCAAGAAUAAGAUUAUGAAAUCUAAGGAAUUAUGUAUGAUUUACUCAAGUAUAACAUUCCUCCCAUUAUAUGUCGAUUAUCAUUCCCCCCAACUUGUGCAGGAUAAUAAUGUGGAGGCCAAUUGUGGACUUGUCCACCUCGGCACCGUUUUGGAGUUAAGGGUGAGCCCUUGAAACCCUGAUAGCGCUUUUGGAGGGGCCUUCCCAAGAUUCGAAAUAGCUCAAGUACCUUUAAAGUCUUUGGGUUGGAAUGCCUGGUAUCACUUGAGCUACUUCGAAUCCUGGGGAGGCCCCUCCAAAAGCGCUAUUAGGAUUUCCAGGGCUCACCCUUAAUCUCAAGACGGUGCCGAGGUGGAUAAAUCCACAAUUGGCCUCCACAAAUAACAAUGCUGAUUAUAUGGUUCCUCAGAUGUUAUCACCCUGUUUGUAUGAACCCUAAUUAAAUGUAAUCUCGUAAUUUUAUUAACACAAAGUGUAAAGUACACGUGCAUUUUAUGGAUGACACUAAGUGAAAUUAGGUAUCAAUUACACUCAAUGAGAUAAGAUGCUGAAAUCCGAGUUGGUUCUAAUCAAUAAUAUGUAACAUUGCCGGAAUCAGUCUCAUAUCUUGGUUUGAUCUUAUGUCGGAUACUUGUCUGAAUCUUAUGAUUUCGACAUAUAUCGAACUCGUUCAUAUGUCAAUCCAACACCUAAUGCUAUUAUGCCAUUCCUCUUUCUGCAGAAAGUAGGUGUCUGUACCCGAUUUUGGGCCUUAGAGUAUCAGGUUUAAUAAACGAUCAAGUGAUGAAAAUAGGGUUAGAUUGAAUCGGGUACCUUACCAAAUCUUGUUCUUGUCUCGUGUAAAGGAUUUAGAACAUGAUAUUAUAUGUAUUACAGAUAAAUGAUAAAACCUUGGAAAGGCAAUGGGAUUGAGAUGUGUAUCAGAAUAAAAAAGCUAGAAAAAAGUUGUCCUAGUCGAACAAAUUGGUGGGAACACAUCUACACUUGUGGGUUCAAUGAAUCUCUCAUAAUGUUCUCGACCAAAAUAGAGAAGCAUGAACAUGUGCCAUGGGUAUCUCAUUCUCUUCCUCAACACAAGGGGAAAAAAAAGGCAACUGAAAGUAUCUCUUGGCUCUAUGUGAUAUAUAGUAUAUGAUAAUCAUAAGGGAAGAUAAAGGGAAGAGAUAAGUUGGAUAGUUCGGAAGAAAAAGAGUAUGAGUAAAAAUCUCGAAUUUAAGACGUUUCACUUAUGCUAGUGUUAAAAAAAUGAUAAUCAGGUGUCAAUUUGAACUUGGUAGAACGGCCAAAGAUUCAGUCCAAUUUGAAGGCGACUGAUUGCAAUAUAGGAAGUCACGGGCAGAGGAAAAACGCCAUUCUAGACCCCCAUUUUGUGGGAGCAAAACUUGGCUCACGAAAAUCCCUUUUUUUUUUUUUUUUUAAAGUCUGUGCCCAGCAGUAUUUCAAUAAAUCCUCAUUUUAAAUAGUAGCAAAGCAAUAUAUGCGAUUACAAAAUGCUAAUCAGUGUGUCAUUUUUAGUGUAAAAGGUAGAAUUUUGUUGGGAACGAUUUGAACUAAAUUGUAAAGUAGGAGGAAUUGUAAUUAGAAGGUUAUAGACCCAAAAUCUUCCAUUUAUCAAAAGAAAAAAAAGGCGGAAUUUUGACUCUAACCAUCAGAUUUGGUAAGCCAACUGUAAUAGUGAACAUUUAUAGGACCACAAUAAUCCAAAUUAAGUUGUCGAAUUUUCCACGAAAGGAUUGUCAGAAGGCUCAAAACCAACGCAGGUCCACGUACGUCUUGACACUAUAUAUAUUUCUCAUGCCUAGACUUUAAUCAUUAAAGCGGGAUUGAAAACUGAAAAGUUACGUUACCUCGCAAUUCCACCACAACCCCAUAAUUCAUCAAAAGGGUAAAUGACAAAACAAUCAACAGACAGAAAAUGAGCCAUUGACGAGACUAAUUAAAGUUGGAGAAAAAUUGGGGUUGAAGCAUAUAGAAAAAGGAAUUUGAAUUCUUCAAGUCAUCUUGUGUCGGCCCUGAGAUUGUUCUAACAUUUUGUUAUGAGCUGGCAAGAUGGAGUGAAGGUCAGAAAGAUUUUACCAGUUCAACUGGCACCGGACCUUCGGUCCAGCAAUCCCUAUUGGACCAUGUCCAAAAGUCAACUAGUUUCACUCACUCGAAGGAAGUGAGUGAAUAAUUGUUAACAAGCAACUCCAACCUAAUCCACAUUUGACUUAAAAGUUUCAUAAAUGCAAGUCCAUUACUGCACAGUACAUUCACGAUUCUUAUGUCCAAUUGCUUAUUGUUAGAGAGAGAGAGAGAUCAAGAUGGUGGAAUCCUUAUCCAUUUGUAUCUAACAAGUUCAAAUUAAUGCACCAGGACCUAAGAAAUAGAAUUGCUAACACAAGUCAGUUCAAUUGAUAAGAACAAAUCAUUUCUUUAUAAAAAAGAUUGUGUGUUCAAAUUUCACUCUUGAUGUGAAAAUUGUGUUCGUAAACGAUCUGUAAGAACCUCUUUAAAUGACCUAUAGUUUUAGAAACUUGCUCUGAUCCGUGGUGGUGAUUGGAGUCGAACCCAACCAAACUUUUUUCGUACAAAAAAAAAACUAAGAGAUAGGAUUGUACGUUUGGUGUCAGACCAUUUUCUGCUCAUUUUCCGGUGUUCAAAAUGAAAAACAUGUUGGCCGACAUUGGCCUGAAAUCCUAUACCACAUCGAAAGAUCGUGGAGUCUUUACUCUGGGUUUAACGUCCACAGGAACCCUGUUCAGUUACCAAUUGACUGAAUAGUGAUUCUUUGUGGGUCCCCUUUAGAUUGCUUUCGGGCCGUUUUUCGAUUAACUCCUGCGUUUGUUUAAAUUAGGUGGGUGUGUGUGGGUUAUUUAUCGGUUUCGAUAAAAAAAAAAAAAGACAUUGGCCUGAAAAGCAUUUUGGUGCCCAACAAUAGAUCAAGAUUGAUUCCUCUAGAGAUAUUCCAAUUAGCUUUACUACUUAGGGCUAUAAAAUAAGAUGAGACGCUUAUAAGAUGGCUAGCGUUGGCCUGAAAGGCAUCUUAAAGCUUUUGAAAAAGAAUGCUAGCCAUUUGUCUAUAGAGUGGCCCGGCAUUGGCCUGAAAGGCAUCUUAAAGCAGUUGAAAAAGGAUGCUAGCCAUUUGUUUUUGGUAGACUCGUGGAUUUGUGCCCACAAAUUUUUCGAUCCUUUGGCUGCAAAUUUUGUAUAUUUUACUCUUUUUUUUUCAAUAAACAAAUUUUGAAUAUUUUACUACUUAAGAGCUAUUGCAACACAAUUGAAAAUCUGAACAAUGACGAAUUGCAAGUGCAGCUGCAGUGAAUGCACACCCCUGACUUGAGGCUGCUUACCUAGUUUCCAAGUCAAAAUUGGGGAAGUCAGUUUUGACUGAAUUACUAGAAGUCAACACAACCUUUUAACAAAAGUCAAAGUCCUAAUUCCUAACUAGCCUUAAGAGAAGGGAAGUCUUGAGUCGAAGGUUGAUCAUCUCUUAUCUUAGCACCAGUUUUCCUUUGCCAUUAGCUGAAGGUUCAUCUUAUAAAUUAGCUUUCUAGCAGCAAAAAGGGGGAAAAAAAAUAAGGGUAAUGGACAAAAAGAUACAGAGAACAAAUGAAAAUGAUGGCCUCGUUUCGCAAGUGAGUUUUUUAGAUAUUUGUCUAAAACUAAACUAUAACUUACUGUAGAAGUUUUUUAAAAAUUUUUUGAAUAUUUUGAAAUGUAUAGUUUAAAAAUUUUGAGAAAUUUUUUGAAGUUAUUAAAAACUUGUAGCAGAUAAACUUGGCCAAAAACUUGUCUGCCAAUCAAGGCCGAUAACUCACAGUUUAUGAUCAUUCAAGUUUUUGAUCUACUCUUGAUCUUAAAUUGAGGACAGAAAGUCAGCAAUUUUUGGACAAUCAAGCAAACCAAUGACAAGUAUCUUGAUUCUGCCUUUGGGAAAACCCUAAAUUAUUUUGUUUAAUUUAGAAAUGUGCUUCUAAAUAUAGGCCACAAGAGGGUGUAACACUUUUUGGGACAGAUAAGAAGGCUAAAAGGCUCACCUCAUUUGGUCGGAUACUAUUGUUUUUGGACUUAAAAGUUAAAGAUAGAUUUUCAGCACUUUGCUGGUAAUUGUACUUCAAAAACCAACUUGAUCUUGUUUGUUUUGUGACUUAGGAAUGUUAGGAAAGUUAAGUGACAUAUAAUGCCAAACUGUGAUUCAAAUCAAAUUGGUGCUCCAAAAUUCAGCUCCUGUCUGAAUUCAAGUUUUCUUGGGAUUCCUUCUUGGCUGUUCUUUUCUUGGAUUAUCUUGACGAUUUCUGUCUUAAUUACCACAUCCGUGUCUAGUAUUUUUCAAACAAAGUACAAAUGGUUUUAACAUUAAUCAAGUAAAAUUUUCUCCUCAAAACAAAGCCAAAAAAAAAAAAAAAAUUUCCUGUUGCUACUUUGCAAUAAAUUCCCUUGGAUAAGAGAGAUUCAAGAACUGCAUUCUUUUCUAGUUGGCAUAUUUAUGUGAACAUUUUUGUACCGUCAUUCUGUAAUUCUAUCAGCAUCCAGAUCAGGAGGCAAUUAACUAUUCAAAAAGUACUCACAAAUUACUACAAUCUUGCUCAUUAUACAUCAGAUUUGUCUUCCUAGCCAGCAGAUAUCAACUCUACAAGGCCAUAAACUUUGAUUGGGCCAUUAACAGAAAAACUAGUCCAGUGCCUAAGCAUUUAUGAGAUUCACUUCGUCCAGCCCACAACAAAAUCAAUCAUGCGUGGGCUGUUCGGGCUGCUUUAGUCUUGGUCAACAACCUUACAAAACCUUUGGAAAAUUCAAUUCUUGCUUCCUACAUUUUUUUUUUUUUGAGAAAUAUCCUUUAAUGUCAAAGCAUCAAUCUGCUGCGUGUGUUUAGGGCGGUAAACGAAUGAAAUCGAACUUUGCAUAGCUUAAGUUUGAUUCAAAAUUUUGGACUUGAUUUUGAAUUCAAACUUGAAUUCUAUAUGAGCUUAAAAUCUAAACUCGAACGCAAUUUGAUCUAAUAUUCGAUGGGUUCGAUCUUGAUUCGAGAGCCCAAAAUUUUAUUAAUUCUUCAAUUUUACUAUUAAACGAACACUAAUUCAUUUAUAGUAUAUGUAUAAUAAAAUAAUAAACAUAUAAUUUUAUAUAAAAUAUUAACAAGUAAUUUAAACAAAAAAAAUUAAAAGUUUUUCAAAUCAAAUUGAGCCUUAACAAGAUGAAUAUUUACAAGUUCGAACUCGAUUCAAUACUAUAAAUGAAUCAUAAUUCCUAUUCGAAUCUGAACUCGAGUUCGUUAAAAAUCAAACUAAUCUGAACUCGAGUUCGUUAAAAAUCAAGUUUGAUUUUUAACGAAUCCAGUUCGAAUUGUUCGUUAAAGUUUGGAUUCGUUUACAGCUCUACUGCUGUAUUCAUUACGUUACCGUUUUAAGUGUCCUUAUUUCCAUCAGUAAAUUCAUAGGUAGGUACAUAUUCUAUCCCAAAAGAGUUCAUUGUUAUUAGCCAAACCUCGUCGUUAUUAUCAAUGUUGUUUUUUUGUCAUUUUACCAUUUAGGUAUAAUAAUGAUUUGGAUUUCCAACUUGAUUUCCUUCUGUUCCGAGUAUUUCUAAUUGAAAAAUGAAAACCAGAUCUUGGAUUAUUGGAUAUAAAAGCUAGACAUAACAUGUCUGCGUUGUUUCGGGAGAUACUACGGUCCCUUUAGUAUACUAUGCUUCAGUUGAAAUUCAGCGUUGAUUGAUAAAAUAAGAGUUUUUGAUCUCUGAAUUAAAAAAAAAAAAGAUUUCAAUCAUUUAGAACGUAAAUCACCACCAUUGCUGAAUGAUGUGGCAAUCAGUCAUUGGAUAUAAAUUGAGAGAACUAUUCCCUGAAAAAAUUUUAGAAAUUUUCCAUUCUAUCAAGUUCAAAUACAAUUAUGAAGGGAGAAUCUGAAUUUACAUCCUUCCCGUGACUAUAAUUUCAACGCCUUUCAUGCAUUAAUUCCUUAUAUAUACACACACAUAUAUAUAUAUAUAUUGGAGCAAACUUAUUCAUUUUAUCAACAACAUCAAAAAAGUGUAUACAAAGAGAGUAUCUCAAGCAGGCCAUAACAAGAGAAAGCACAUGUAGGAAGUGGCCUAAUCCUUACGCACCAUAGAGAGUUACUCUUACCUACAUUCCAUGCAAUUUUGAUCUCUCAUUUUUGUCUGCUUAUUUUUAGUGUCUUGUGGUGACAAGAAUAAGAUCUUAGAACCUGUGGAAUCAUAUUGGAUCCCUCUCAAUGAAAUAAUUAGAUGUCGAAACCAGAAAUGGUUCUCUUUAAUCAUCUAAAAAGUUCUACAACAACUAGUAAAUACAACAAUUUUAUGAUUUGGGCAGCUUGAAAUUGUCUGUUCCGACUGUCCCGUUCCUAUUUAACUGCCACAUGCGUUGAUUAAUAACUCUUAUGAUUCUAUUGUGGAUAAAUCCAGUAAUAAAUAACUCUUAGAAUUCUAUUGAUAAUAAAUCCAAUAGUACAAUAGCAUUUAACAAAGAUGGGACAGAAACAAAAUUCAAAACAGAUGAUUUGAAACGGAUUUGGACCUAUAUUGAGCUCUUUCAUCAGUCAAAGGAACACCUAAUGCUAUAAUAGCAUACUCCUCUUUUUGCAGAAAGAACUUUCUGUAAUGGUGUGUGUCUCCGAUUCUAGGCCUUAGGUAUCCGGUUUAAAAUAGACGAUCUAGUGAUCGAAAUGGCUGUAGAUUGAAUAGGGUACCUUACCAAAUCUUAUCUCGUGUAAAGGAUUUAGAAUAUGAUGAUAUAGUACAUAAUAUGUAUCACUUGUAAAAGCUCGGAAAGGCAAUGGGAUUGAGAUGUUUAUCAGAAUAAAAUCUUGAAAGAAGUUGUCCUAGUGGAACAACUUGGUGGGAACAUAUCUACUUUUAUGGGUAACGGGCUCAAUGAAUCUCCCAUAUUGUUCUAAACCAAAAUAGAAGAACAUGAGAAUCUCAUUCUCCCUCUCAAUACAAUACAAGGAAAAAGUAGUUAGAAAUUAAAUAUCUAUUGGCCCUGUGUGAAAUAGUAUAUAAAACUGCCAAAGACUCAGUCCAAUCUAAAGGCGACUGAUACAAUGCAAUAUAGGAAGCUAUGGGCAGAGAAGAAAACAUCCUAGAGAAGAACCCUUAAUGUGGGAGCAGAACUUUGGUCAUCACAUCCUGUUUUUUGUAUGUACCCUGAAGCAUUUCAGGUCAGCAAAAUUUUAAGAGGGUGACAAAGCAAAAUAUAUGCUAUUGCACUGCUAAUUAAUGCGACAGUUUUAGUGCAGGAGGUAGGAGGUGAGACGGAGGAUCGGAUUGAGUGGUAAGAUAGAAUGGAUUAUAGGUACUGAAUUCUACAUUUCCCACUUACCAAAGAAAAAAAAAAGUAAAAGUUUUAGUGACUCAAACAUUAGUUUGUUAAAAUUAUUUUUACAAUGGAGAGAUUAUGCAUAUGAUACCUUAAAAAAUUGAUUUACACCUGGAUAUCUUUUUAUUUUGGGGCCAUUAAUUAAAAGAGUAAUUACCAACUAAUCAGGUUUGGGAAGGCAAAACAUUAGCAUCCAUAGGACCAUGACAAUCUAUUAAGUGGUCGAAUUUUCCACAAAAAGUAUUGUCAAUACCUACGCAGGUCCAGUCUUUUCUUGACUUUGACUGUUUCUCCUACGUAGACUUUGCUCGGUCAAGUGGGAUUGAAAACUUAACAUUCCCCAGCUCCCUUCCACCACAGCCCCAUAUAUGCAUUAAUCAAAAAGCCAAGUGGCAAAACAACCAACAGACAAAAAUGAGCCAUUAAAGAGACUAAAUUAAAGCUGGAGAAAAAAUGGGGUUGAAGCACACAGAAAUGGGAGUUGAAUUCUUCAAGUCGUUGUUUGUUAGUUAUCCUUAUUGGACCACGUCCAGAAGUCAACUAUUUCCACUUCCUUCACUUCAAGGGAGUGAAUGAAUAAUUGUUAAUAAGCAACUCCCAACCUAAUCAACAUUAUUGCAUACUUUUUUAUAUCUAAUUAUGUAUUGUUCUCAAACAAAACAAAGAUCAACCAUGGAAUCCAUAUCCAUUUCUACCUGUCAAGUUCAAACAAUGCACAAGAGAUUGGAUUGUAACUGUUAGAAGUCAACACAACUUUUUAACAAAAGAUGUCAUAGUCCUAAGCCCUAACCAGCCUUAAAAGCAGGGAAGUCUUGAGUCAAAAGUUGAUCAUCUUUCUCACUAUCACUUUGUGUUUGCCAUUAGCUGAAUGAAGGAGGGGAGGGUUCAUCUUAUAAAGUAGCUUUCUAGCAGUUAAAAGAAAAAAAUAGAGGUAAUUAAUGGGCAAGACAUACAGAGAACAAACUGACUAAAAAUGCUCAGAUGGGAGGUAGUCUUGGAAACUACCUUAAUUUUGGCCUUUCUGGAGAACCCUGAAUUAUUUCGAUCAGUUUUAGCUUAAUUCAGAAAGUACUUUAGAAUGUAGGCCACAAAUGGGUACAAUACUUUUUGGGACAAUUAAGGACACCGAAAGCUCAUCUCUUUUGGUCGGAUAUUCUUUGUAUUUAUAGAUGGGAUAUUGUCAUACAGGCUUGUUCUCGAUUGAUUAUUUUAAUUGAUUAUGAAUUUUGAUUUUCGGAUAAUAGUUUUGUGAUGCUCUCGAUUACUUUUGUAUUUUGAUUAUAGAUUUCUUAAUGAUAAAAAAAGUUAAAAUCUAUAAUCAUUUGAAGAGUACCUUUUACUGAUUCUAAUUAUUCUUUAUAAUCAGAUCUUAGUAAAAUCUAAAGCAACCGAGAAUUAGGCCAUAGUUUUCCAACAAUUUACAGGCAUUUCUACUUCAAAACCAACUUGAUCUUGUCUGUUUUAUAUGUGACUUAGGUAACUAAUUAGUAAACUUAGGUGGCUUUGACCGGCUAUAGUAGUACUUGUCUUUGCAUAUAAUGCCAAGCAUUCUCAUCCAAAAAAUUAUUCAAUUCAAUUGGUGCCCCAAAAUUCAGCUCUUCUCUGAAUUCUAGUGUUUUGUGGGUUUCUUCUUGGCUUGUUCUCUCUUGGAUUAUGUUGGCCAUUUCUGUCUCAACUCUUAAUUAUCACAUCCGUGUCUAAUAUUGUGAGCAAAAUACAAAUGGUUUAGUAUUAACCAAGUCACAUUUUCUCCUAAAAAAAGCCCAAAAAAAAAAAAUCUCAGUUGCUAUUUUGCAAAAUUUCCAUGGACAAUAGGGAUUUGAGAUGUAACCACUUUUUUUUUUUGGCACACAGAGGAUAUCCCAGCAUUUUUGCCGAACUAAUCUCUUUAGGCUAUACAGAACCCGCCCAAGAACUGGUGACUUACGGGAUACUACCGCAUGUAGUCACCAACUGAGCUCGUGCUGGGGCAGAGGGGUAACCACUUGGAUCCUUUUCUAGUUUUAUGUGAACAUUUUUAUACUCUUGGCAUUCUGAAAUGCUAUCAGAGUAUCCAGACUACAAGGCGAUUCACAAUUGACAAAUUGCUCACACCUAUCUUGCUACUUGGACCUCGUAUUUGUCUUCCUCGGCCUGCAGAUCUUGACUCUCCAGGUUAUUAAUUUUGACUGGGCCUUACCCUGAAAACAGUCCCCCGUUGCUUAACCCUUUUGGGAGAUUCAUUUUCCCUGGAUGGUGUGUGGGCUGCAUCAUUCUGGUCAAUAACGCUACACUAGGGUCGCAAUGGGCCAAGUGCCAAACCAUUCAGUAUUUUUUUUUUAAGAGAAAUAUGCUUUGGUCGAGGUAAAGGGAAAAAAAAAAAAUCAAUUCCAUGUACCCACUAAGGAUUUGUUCUUGGUUAAUUAUUUUAAUUGGCUAUAAAUUAUAACUUUUAAUAAUAAAAUUUUUUGUUCUCAUUUGGUAUUAUUUAUGGAUUAUAGAUUUUUUAACAAUAAAAAAAAUAAAAUUCACAAUCUACUAAAAAGUAACUUUUAUUAAUAUUAAUUAUUCUAUUUGCUUACUUAUCAGAUUUUAUAAAAUCUAAAAUAAUCGACAACAAGGCCACAGUUAACUAGUGUGGGGAAGAUGUAUUCAGAAUUCAGAGGAAGAUACUUAACAAUUUUUUUUUUUUUUUGAUAGAGUAGAUGGCCAAAAAGGUCACUAAAUAUUAAGUAUGACACAGAUUAGCUACGAAUUUUUUUUUUUGCGGCCACAAAGAUCACAGCAAAAACGGGCAGCGAAAUCAUUUUGUCAAAUUCUACCACUAAAACUAUUGGUUGCCGAAUAUAAUUUGACAAAAAAAAUCGUUAAAUUUCAAUAAUUUACCAACCGUCUUAUCGACAGAAUUUGACAAAAUGAUUUCGGUGGCCCCUUUUUGCCAAUUUAAUGACGUUUGUGGUAAAAAAAUAGUUUAGUGACAUUUUCCACCUUUCCCUCUUUUUGUUACAAAGCUAAGUGCAGAUUUUGUUACUGUUGACAUUUUCCCAGAGGUCCAUGCAUACUGAGUUACGAGAUCCCAAGCAGUUUGAGGUACACAAUUCGAGGUAGUUAUGACUGCUUAGUAGCAAAACUUUGAAUCAUUACCUAGCAGGAGAAAUAAACCAUCAGCCCAUCCUUUACGGUAAUCAAGAAACUAAUUCAUCUCUUCAUUGAACCCAUCUCAUCUUUUACACUAAUCAAGAAACUUAAUUCAUCUCUGCAUUACCCUCCCAACAAUUUCAAGGGUUUACCAAUUUAUUUCUAUAUAAACAAACUGCCCUUGCAGCUCGAGAAUAUGAGACAGAAAGUUCAAGGGUAGCAAAACAAAAAUGAGAGGAUCAGAGAUCAUCAAGUCAGUUGCUUCUGCAGCAGGUUUAGGUCUAGUUGCAUGGGGCAUUUCUCAACUUUUGGAAAUCUGGGGCGUUACAAAAAUUUUUGGAUUCGCAUUACCAUGGAUAAGCAGGAAACUGAUGAAAGCACCAGGAGGCAACAACUACAUCUUCAGGGAUGUCUUCGAGCGUGACCCUGCUGGCUAUUUCAGCGGCCUUCGCAAUUUGAAAAAUUAGUUAUAUCUGUCUUCAGGAAAACUGAUGAAUAUUACUGGUUUCUUAGCGGCUAAUGAUUGAUAUAUCUGUCUUUGCGGGUAAUUGGUUGAAUCUCCUACUGAAGUUGUAAUGCAUUAGUAAAAUUCCCUUAUCCCUGAUCUGAUAUACAUAAAUUAUAGAUGGAUUAAUUGGGAUGCUAAUGGCAUGAAUAUGUCCAAUGUUGAAUAAAAUUCUCCAUGUAGUGGCAUCGAUCAUAUACUUGUAGCCAAGAGGAAAAACCAAAACAAGAAGCAGCUUGCAUUCGAAGAAUGUAGUGGCCUUUACAAGUGCCUAAAGGAAAUAGGAAUUGCUAAUUCAUACAAGCGACUGAUUUUAUUACAUAACCAUAAAUUAUUCAACAACAAAUGAUAAGGCUUGAUGGGCAUCACCACGCCUAGAAUUAUCUCACUGUAAUGGCCUCUAAGCCCUCCAAGAAAGAGGUACCCACUAAUAAUAGUGUCUGGAUUUUUACCUUUGGAGGGACCCUAAAUCAUUGCCGGCUUAGAAAAGUACUUUUGAAUACACGAAAUGGGGUACUUUUUUUUGGGGGGGAUAAAGUGAAUUUCAUCAAUUUGCAAGAAGUUAUACUACAAAAGUAAAGAAACCAACUUGAUCUUGUUUCUAUUGUGAUUUAGGAAAGUUAAAUGGGCUAUCAAUUGAUAUAGUGGUACAUGUAGGUUACAAGAGCUCGGGUAUGGGAAACAUUCUCAUCCAAAAUAUGACUCAAAUGUAUUGCUGCUCCAAACUUUAGGUCUUGUCUCAAUCCAAGAGUUUUGGUGCCUGCUCUUUCUUGGAUUAUCUUCAUGAUUUGAGUCUCAAUUAUCACAUCCUUGGGUAAGGCACCAAAAUGAAGUAAUUAUACUGUUUCAAUUAGUGAAUUUAUGGGAAUAUCAUCCAACAUUUCCAUUGGCAGUUGGUGAGUAUUCGUAUUAGGCGCUGUGCAAUUGCAAUUAUUGCACCUGUCUCCAGGUUACAAGGCAAUUAUCAAAAAUUACAAAUAGUAAAUUUUAACUCUCAAGGUGAUAAAGGAUGGACGAAUUGGCUUCGCAUUAAUAAUUUUUUUUUUUAAAAAAAAACUCUCAAAGUGACUAACUGAUUCGGUCAUAGACAAACCAAAUUCCUCCAAUACUUGACCCUUUGUUUGUGACGAUUCAAGUUUUGUUUCCUAAACCAAGAACAUGCAGAGUAUUUAUAUUUUUUUAUAUUUAGUUUUUGUUUUUAUCAUGAGCCCGUUCGACCAGUUCAAAAACAGUUGCAUUUUCUACCCCAUUAUUGAAUGAGUUUGAUCUUGUGUUCAAACUAGAUUUAUUUGUUAUAGAAUCGAGCAUUUUCAAAUUCGAAUAAGCCAAAUAUGAACAUAUAAGCUAAUUGCAGGGAUCACCAAAUGCACUAAUAAUACAAGUACUACAAAAAGGAAUUUUUAAAUUUUGCAAAAUAAAUUGUGUUAUUCAUCCAGACUCACAACAAGUGUAAAAAGAUUAUACAGUGACAACAUGUGCUUUGAGCAAUUCUAAACGCUUUAUGUUGGAAAGCUAAAGAUAGAUUUUUUUCCCCCAAUAGUUCGUUACAUUUUCCAAGAUAGAGUUUCAUGCUCACUAGACCCUUAUUAUUCAGCAAAUACACAAUUCAAGGUAUGUAUUAUGACUGUUCAGGAUUCUCAUCUCAUCUGUUACGCUGAUCAAGAAACUAAUUCAUCUGUUCAUAACCCUCUGAUCAGUUUUCCAGGGAAUGUAUUACCAUCUAUAUAAACAAACCGCUUUUGCAGCUUCUGAAUAUGAGCUAGAAAGUUCAAGAGCAGCAAAACAAGAAUGAUGGUCAGGGCAAUUGCAUCUGCAGCAGUUCUGCAAAAUCUAUCACUGUUAAAUGAGAUAAAAUAUUUCGAAAAUUGGAAGAAAAAAAAAAAAAAACUUUCGGCGCCCCUGCACAAAUCACGUUAGUCUUCUUGGAUUUGACCAUACCAUUCAUUACUUUUUGACAUUACCUCAAUACAUCAAUCCCAAAGUUCUUCUCGAAGACACAAAUCCAUGAUUCAUCAGCAAAAGAUAAAAGCCAAAUAGUACUGCUAGAAAUUAGGAACAAAUACCCCACUAAACCCUAUCGCAAAUCUCACUUUUAUGUAUAACCUUGCUUGUAUUUGCGAAACAGGUCCUCAGUCUUGGCAUUCCUAAAAGCACAACAUCCAAUUAAAUAAACCCAAAUCAAGCCCACAAGUGUGAUUAAUAAUAUAAUGUCUGCUCUUCUCCAUUCUUUCUUCAGAUUAGCCAAUAAUCCUGCUUUGCAUGAAUCGCAUGAGUAGCAAAGUUGUGUUUGCUCAUUGCUCCAUUGAAGGCAAUCCAUGUCUGCUGCUGUGUCUAUUGGACUAAUCCAGUAUGUUGGGUUCACAAAUGUGUAGCCGCAUUGUGUUGGAGGUUUACAGCAGCCUGACUGUAAAUGGAAUAUCAAGAAAAAAUUAAAGGUGAAUCAUUCCUAGCGGGUACAUAUAUAUAUAAACCCAUUUUCACACAUGAUUAAUUGGGGGCUUCAUGAUUGACAGGAAAAAAUAUAAAAGAUAAAAAUUCAACUUAAAACCCUUGUGUAUAAACACGUAGGAAAUUUUUUUUUUUCAAGUUUUUUUUUUAGCCUCCCAUCCUUCCCCAUAGGUCCACUCUCUUCUCACUCCUAACUAUUGAGAUUUGAAUCUUAAAUUUGAUGGUAGAAAAAACAAUAAAAAUCCUCCCUUGACCACUAAACGGAUCCUAAUGGUUAACAUGUAAAAUUUUUUCUCACUCAUGUUUCUUAUGUAAAUGUAACAUUUUGUAACUUAAGAAUUUAGAUUCAUGCAAUUGCAAAAAUAAAAUUUGCAGAAACAAAAACUCAAAUUUUUACACAAUGUGUCUUAUUCUUUUGUUUUAAAAGUAGUGUAGUAACAAAACCUAAUCUUGAUUUAGGCUUUGUUUUUUAUUAAUCUUUCUAUUCAACUGUUAGCAGCUAUUUGUGGCUUUAACUAUUGAGGUCCUAAAUUGUUGUGUGGAAGAAUCUUCACUAUUCUAAGCUUUAUGAUGCUAUUAAUUCUUUUCUGUACCGACAAAGUAAAAACCUUGUUUGACAUAGAAAGCACUCUAAGAAUACUUUAGAUGCUAAAGCAUACGUGUGAAAUAAAAAAGAAAUGAUCCCUACUAAUCACUUUUCUUUCAUGAUAAGUUUUUAUAUUAGGUUUGAGUCAUUGAUCCUUUUAACAUUUUUAGUGGAAGAAGGUAUCAGCAGCUUUAAUAUUUGAAGAAUGUAAAAAGAGCAAAUCUGGAGGAUGGUGUAACAGAAAUCCACUACUGUUACCUCACCUUUCAAACAAAAAUGCUGAAGUAAGCAGGUAAAUUCAAAAUCCCAAAACAAAAAAGGGAAAAUAAAAGCAAAAAUAAAGAUCAAAUCCUUGUUAAUCCUCUUUUCUUUUUUUUUUUUGGAAAUAAGCAAGUAUGCAAUGCUUAAAAACCAAAAAGAAAAGGAAAAUAAAGACCAAAAAAAUUAAAAACUUUGUUGAUCCUCCUCUUCUUCUUCUUCUUCUUUUUUUUUAUUGCAAAGAAAUAUGGACCAUAUGUUACUUGAGUACACACAUUUGGUAGUUAAACUUUUGAACAAUAUUAUCAGUUUUAAUGUCCAACCAUGCAACAUUUCGCCAUAGAACCAAAAAAUGAUCAGAAGUAAAUUUUUAAGCAAGAAAAUGAAGUUCUUGAAAUUACCUGUAAGGGACUAAGAUGUGCAUUGAAGAAAUCUUGAGGCAUACGAUAACUUUGGUUCAACUCAGCACACAUGCUAGAAGAGCUAAGGCAACUUCUUAUUCUGUCCCAUUUAUAAGAGCUUUGAACUCUUCUUCGAAGCCAUCCAGAGAAGUCAUCAAGAUGAUAUUCCAAAUAAGCUCGGUUUGUUGCAGGCCGGCCAGAGCCUCUGAUGGUAACCAUAUAGAUAAAAACCACCAAACAAGCAAGCAAAACUAUGAGAACAAGCAUAGCAAUGAGGUACAAAAUAAGAAGCCAUGGAAUCCUCCAAAACCCUCCAAUAAAACCCGCAAGAGCCACAAUCAAAAUCAGAACUCCCAAGAUAAUCACUGGCCAUUGAAGAAGUUUUACACAGGAAUUGUCUGGUUCUGUUGCUAGCCAGAUUCCAGCACCGAUGAUGGGGAUUGAAAGAAGCAUUGCAACAAAGUUUAUGCAACCAAUAACAUUAUUGCUUAGUGCCAUUUCUUUGAAGAAGGAAGAAAUGCUAAGUCCUUUUUUUUUUGGGGGGGUUGGCUGAGAAGAAUAAGGAUGGAGGAAGAACAGGAAACUAGGUAGACAAGAUAGAGAUUUUGAUUUGCAAGUCACUAGUACUAGUUUUUGUUCUUUUCCUUGGAAGGAUGAAAGCUACUAAAGCAAAUGAAUCAUAGAUGUAAAUAGGGUUAUGAGCUCUUGGACCAAACGUUCAAUCACUUUAGUUUAACUUUUUAAAAGGGAAUUGUUGUAAAGAAAACAAAAGUAAAAGAAAGAAGAAAUUCCUCUCUCAUGAGUAGAAAUAGAAACUUGUGCUCUGUCAUCAUGUUGGGUACAACGAAGACUUUGUGCUUCAGAUGCCUCGGGCUCCAUACACACUAUGGCAUCUUUUCCCUGAAUUAGAUCUACAAUUGCUUGGGGUAAAAAAGUUAAUUAUGCUAAAGAAAAGAAUGAAGAACUAAAAUCACCUGGCUCAUAUGUCUCUAUCUUUGUAUCCUACAAAAAUAUUUAAACGUAGUGCACUUCGAUUGGUAAAAUCCUUUACCUAUAAUUAAGAGGUGGAGGGAAUAGGAGGAAUAGGAAAAGCAAGGAAAUGAAAAGAUGUUUUGAUUGAGUUUUUAGGACGAAAAGAAAAGAAUAGGGAAAGAAAGGAAGGGAUUAAGUCUAAUUAUUUGUUAUGAGCCUGUAUUUCAUUUAAAAGUAGACAGACAUUGAGGGAAAAGAAGACAUUAAACCAAGAUCAAUGAAAAUGUUAAAUUUUUUUUGAAAUAUCCUUGUAUUUUUUUCAUAUUUAUCAUUAAUGUAAUUUAUCUUUAUUACAAUCUCCACACUACCUUAUAAUCUAAACUUACUUUUUUAAAUUAUAUCUGAAACCUUUAAAUAUUAGAUAUUUUAUUAAUAUUUACUAUCAUUUAAAAGAUUUGCUUUUUGUAUUCUCGAGUUCUAAUUUCUUCUCCUAAAAAACUUCAAAAUAAAAAAUAUUCGAUUCAUUUUGAAAUACUAUUAUCUUGGAGAUUUUCGUGAACAUAAAAGGAUGAAUACAAAUAAAUCAAACUAAAAAGGACAAAAUAAACUAAAAGGAGGGUAAAUUAGAUUUUGUUAAAUUAUGGGCAAAUUCAAAAGAGAAAACGUUAAAAACAUUGCUCAUAUUUUGCUAAAUGAAUUUUUUUGUCUUUCACUUUUAAAAUAUUAACUUUACGUUCUUUACAAAUUCAAAUUAGCAAUAUUUGGUCCCAACCUAAGUUUCGAACCACUUUUAAAUCUGAAAUCACCACGUGACUUAUAUGCAGCCAUUUUUUAUGUACAAAAAGGUCAUAUUCCACUUGUUUAGUAGCAAAAACGAAUAUAGAUUGGAUCAGGUCCCAUUUUUUGAUGAAAAUAAAUAUGAUUCAGAUUAAAUCCUACUUUUUUACAAGUAAAAAUAAAUAUGGAUUGGAUCAUUUGUUUGACUACAAAUUGGAUCUAACCUUUUUGCUCCUACAAAAAUGACCAUAUAUGAGUUAUGUGAUGGAUUCAGGGUAAAAGGUAAUUGAAAACUUAGGUUAGAAUUAAAUUUUAUCGAUUUGAUUUUAUAAAGGAUAUAAAAUUACUAUUUUAGAAAUGAAGGACAAAACAAUUUAUUAAAAUGCGAGGAAUGUUUUAAACAAUAUUCCAAUUCGUAACAAACACAGUGAUUCCUACCCUGAUCCAAUCAAUAUCUUUAGUGUUUUUUUUUGGAUUAAUUUUUUAUACACUGACAGUGUAUAUACAUUUACCAUUAUAUGCAUGACAUGUAAUUCGAAUUUGAAUUUGAAAUUCAAAUUUUACAUAUGUGUUUUAUAUCUAGCCAUAAUAGUGUAUAUACCGUCAUCGUAUAUAAAAUUUACUAUUUCUUUUUUCCUUCCAUAUCCGAUCUAAAAAAGACAGUUAGAAUCCGCUUGCUCUUCUCAUUCUUUUUCACUAGAGUCCCUUCCUUCCUUUUUCUGCCCUUUCUUUUCUUGCAAGGCCACUACUAUUUGCUUUUCGUAAAAGAAUUCUUCAUAAAUAUGUAACUGUACCCUUAAAAUAGAGGAAUUUAACAAAAAACAUAUCAUUUAACUAAUUUGUUGCACAAAUAAAAAAAAUAUUAAAAUAGAAGAGGCAUGCAAUGAAUGUCCUUAACUUGUAGGGUUUUCAAACUGUCCUUAAUUUUUGUCCUAUCCUUAAUUUUUGAACUUCAAAAAUUUUAUACACGUGACAUGCAUUCUACAUGUAUAUUUACCUUUAGUGUAAGAAUGAUUAAUUCAUAUAUAUACAUACAUACAUAUAUAUAUAUAUAUAUAUAUCUUUUUUUUUUGGCAUGAACUACAUCAACAAGAACAUCAAACAUGUACUUUCUUUUUUCUAAAAAGAAUUAACAAAGGAUAUAUUUGUAGAAGGAUUGGGCCUGAGCUGAAAUAUAGUUACAAGCCCAUCAGUUUGGCAGCCUGGUCUCUUGUCAGCCCAAGCCAAAUUAAUUUGCAUGAUCUGCUUUGGGAAUUGAGAGGUAAUCUUUCAACAGAAAAAUCUCUGGAAACCAUCUUCUCCGACGGUUCCUUCAUUCAGUCAGCACUCAGCAGCAAUGGCUGCAAUUGAAGCAGCAGCAUUCUCCAUACUUUCUUCUUCCUCUUCCCUCCCGUCAACUUCCCCUAAAUGCUCUUUGCACUUCCUUAAACUUCCCAUUUCCACCUGUGCCCUUCCUUUUUCCUCGAAACGCCCACUAUAUCCCCUCCCUCCACUGCACUCCUCAAGAAAACCAAGGUUCCAAAUAUGCUCAACCUCCACAGUUGAAGAAGUUGUUACAGUAGAAGAAAAAACAGAGCCAACCGAAGAGAAAGCAGAGUCAGCCCCACAAACCAAUCAGAAAAGAAAGCUUUUUGUGCUAAAUUUGCCAUGGUCCUUCACCGUUGCUGAUAUUAAGAACCUCUUUGCUGAAUGUGGCACUGUUACUGAUGUUGAGGUACUUCCAUGAGUGGGAUAUUUCUGUUGAAGAACUUACUUUGGAUGAAUUUGUUGAAGUUGAAGAAGUGAUUUUAGUUGGUGGUUCUUUUUUCUUUUGGGUCUGAAUUUGUUAUUGAAGUGAGAUUAAAUCGUGGGUUUUGUUUGUCCUGCAUAAUUUGUUAAUGAAGUUAUUUUUGAAUGGUGGGUCCUGUUUAUCUCGAUGAAUUUGUUAAAGGAGUCAUUUUGAAUCGUGUUUUCUGUUUUUUCUUGGAUGCAUUUGUUGAAGAAGUGAUUUUGAGUAGUGGUUUUUGUUUUUCUUGGAUGUGGCAGAUUAUAAAGCAGAAAGAUGGUAAAAACAGGGGCUUUGCAUUUGUGACAAUGGCUUCUGGGGAAGAGGCUCAGGCUGCUAUUAAGAAAUUUGACUCUCAUGUGAGUUGUUUUGGAAAGUAAAUUUUCUGAUUAUUGUCUAUUAUCAGUGUCCUUUAAUGGUUUACUAGAUGUAUAGCACAAUGUGUUUGUUAUCAGAGCCGAAAGGAUAAGGAAAUAAUUGUGAUUGAGUGGUGGAAUGAGUGUGUAUUUGCGCAAAGUGAUGGGUAAGAGUAUUGGAGCAAUUUUGUUGAUAUUUACAUAUCUGACUUCCAAUAAUGUGAGAAAAUGGUAGUUUUGCUUCGUUAGUCAAUGAUAUUUGAAUCUUUAAGGUGUAAUUCUAGCUGCAUAUAAGAUACUCAUCUAUAGCUGGAUUUGAUGAGUUGUGCCUUCAUCUUAAGUUCUAAAAUUGUAUUUGUGAUGCAUGUUAUAAUAUAAGCAAAAUGAAAAGUCUAAUAAGAGGAAAAGAAAGAUGAGAAAGGAAAACUUUUGUUGGAUACUGUUGGGGCAGAAAAUAGGACAGAACACAAUAACAGAUCAUGGAUACACAUCUUUAACCUCGCACCCCCCCCUCCCCCAAAAAAACACCAGAGAAAGUUAUUUCCUUGUCACCCCCUUGCAAAAUACUUGAAGAAUGUUGAUAAAUAUUUUCCCUUGAUAUCCCUUCUUUUCUCCACAAGUUUUCCAUCCAAAUGAUAUUAAUAUUCUCAUCUCCGGAGACUUGUGAAUACUGAUAUAAUUUUCCUGGUUCAAGUGAGAGACUGGUAAUGUUUGUCAAAAAUUACGUAAUGUAAGAUAUAUCUUCAAAUCUGCAGAGGCUGUAAACCAUCAACAUUUGCUUUUGUGCUGGCUAUCUUAAGGAAACAUGCUGAUUAUUUUUAAUCGAUAAUGGUUUUCUUAUUGACUGUCAACUAUGAAUUUAAAUUGUUCUUUCACUUUUCACUGGAGCAAUGACCUUCUAAGCUCUAAAGAAAUGAAUUCUUAUUUACGUCUUUCUGGUUAAAGUCCAAUAUCAUCUAUAUUUCAAAUGGUUAUGCAAAAUUUUUUUAGGAAAAAUCGCAUUGAAAACAUCCAACCUAAUUCAUAACAACUAUUAUUUUUGAUAAUUUUCCUUUAGUACUCGAUGUCUUUAGUCAUUUUGCCAGGGUAUACCAUGGGAUACACCAAUUACAACUUUUUACAAGUUUGAAUUCUUUGCUUGUGACUUUAUGUCAAUGAAAAAAGGGUGUAUAAAGGGCUAUCUUUAAGUGAUCUAGUAGCAUAAUGUACAGUGAGGAAAUAUAAAUGUGGGGGAGUCCUUGGAAAUCCUUUGCUGUCUUAAUUUUCUUGAGGAAGAUGUACCAGUUGGCACUGGCCUGGGGUUUUUCUGCCUGGCAAGUUCUGCAAGUACUCUGGUUGCUAAAGGUGAUUCUUCCGUGCUUCAGCAAUAAGUCCCCUUUUUCAUCUGUCCUUCCAUUUGAACAUGGUAAUAAGCAUGACUAAACCUUCAGGAAGUAGAUUGUAAGAAACUACAAAGGAGGGUAUAGAUUUGUAGCAAAAAUAGAAGAAGUGAUCAAUACUAUAAGGGUAGGGAAUGACAAAGAAUAUGCGUGCAUGCCCAUGCAUCUUCUGCUAACUGAAUUGUGGCAUUCUAAGAGGGUAUGAUAAAGGCUUUUAUUGUGCCUUUGACAAAGUGUCAAUCACUUCAAGGCUGCAGCUUAUGAUUGGUGGUAAGCCGCGUUGAUGAUUUCAUCAAAGACCUUCUUCAGAAUAGAAAGCAAAUUCCUGAGGAUUCAAGGUGGCCAUCAUUGUGCUUGGUUUCUUUUAGUUGUAAUAUUUUUUAGCAGCGGCUUUGAAGAAAGUAGUAUUUUAGGGGUCAAAAGAUUUCUGUGUAAUUAUUUUGUCUUCGUUAAUGUUAUAAAUGACACCAAGUAAGCUUCAAAAGAAGAUAUAUUUGCUCAUUGACCUUGAGAAAGACUGAAGGCAAAUAUACGCCUUUCCCCAUUUCCUUUGGUGUUUCUGUUUGAAUAUAUAUGUGUUCAUGAGUUCAAACAGAAGAAAGAUCUCUAACAACAUCUGUCCCAGUAUUUUAUUUAUGUUAUGUUUUGUGGCACAGGAAUUGUCUGGUAGGAUUAUCAGGGUAGAGCUUGCAAAGAGAUUCAAGAAACCCUCACGUUCACCUCCUGAGGUUCCUUCCCGUGGUGAGACCUGCCAUAAGUUGUAUGCAUCCAAUCUUGCCUGGAAGGUGAGGUCUAGCCACCUGAAAGAAUUCUUCUCUGCCUACAGUCCAGUUUCGGCUAGGGUUGUCUUCGAUAGUCCUUCAGGACGAUCUGCUGGGUAUGGUUUUAUCUCAUUUGCCACAAAGGAGGAAGCAGAAGCUGCAAUCUCUUCUUUGGAGGGCAAGGUAUUAACAAUAAACUAUUUCUGCUUCUAUUUGGUUGACUUUCUUUCAACUGACUUGACAACGGGGUUCACAGAAUUGUUUGGUGUGGAAACAAUUAUUUUUUUGUGACAUUAUUUUAUGCAUGUCUACAGCCUUCAAAGAACUCCAUCUUCUCCAAACUUCAUAUCAGUUUGUCUUGGUACAAUCCUCUAGGAGAGAGUGGGCAUGUAUAUCGGUAGCUCAUGGUAAGUUAGAAAGAUGUUAGAAUCAAUAUCAGGAACACAAGUAAUUUGAUUAUUUGAGACGUUGAUUGGGAUAUCCAAAUAUUGGAAACUAAAGAUCUAAACUAGAGUUUUAAGUAUGCAUGUGCCGGAUUUGAAAUGGAGAGUAUGAUGUACUUAACUAAAGGGAUUACUGAUGUAGUUAAGAGUUAGUAGUUUCAUUGGUGGAUGGUAGGAGUGUAUAAGGUGAUCAUGUCUUCAAGGAAGGAAUAACAAGUGAUAUUAGCUUUUAACAUGACGAGUUGGAUGAUGUUCAAGAUACCCAAACUUGGUUUUAUCGUCAAGUAUUAUUGCACCCUUUUGUGCAUCUCACUGUUACAGAUUUUGUAGAUACCCAACAAUAUACACUUGAAUAACAAGUGGUACUUACUUUCAACAUGACAAGUUGGAUAAUGAUCAAGACAUUCAAACUUGGUUUCAUCUUCAAGUAUUAUUGCACUCUUUUGUACUCGCUGCUAGAGACUUUUUACAUAUCCAACAGUCUACAGAAAUUCCAUGAGCCAAUGCCUAUUGAGCCUACUAAGCCUAGCACCUUCUCUAAAUUUUGUACAAGGCUGUCGAAGUAACCCUAGUAUGUGUAUUACAUAAUUUAUAUAUUUCAAUAUAGAGUGUACCUGAAGGACGUUGGGUUCUUCAGUAAAUAGCCAAUUAACCAUCACAAACAGAUUGUCAGAUUGAACAACUAAGUAAUGGAUAUUAGGAGCAUGGACACUCCUUUUGGGCCUGUGUAUGUUGAGAAGCAUCAAGUGGAAUUAGCAUUUUGAAAGAUGAUGUCAAAAGGAAGAAGAAACUGAUUUUGGAUGUAUUUCUGGUCGUUUUAGUGCAUUAAGUGGGGCCAGGAGUAAAAAGAGAAAUAAACUAGUGUAUAUGCUUAGCAUUUUAUUAGAAGGUUUUGCUAAGUCCUGAAGUUGAUGAGAAUACACGUUUUCUAUAUUCUAAUUGUGCACAAUCUGCACAUCUCAUGGCAGAAAUCUUUGGGUACAUAAACUUUUAUGCACUGCAAAUUGUAGAAAUAUGGACUUUGGGGAUAUGCUUUUGGUCCCUGCUUGUCUGAUAAUAACCCUUACUGAGAGUUCUGCUUACUGGAGAUUCUUCAUAGAGAAACUCACUAGCUUUCAACAUUCCCAAUGAUUUGUAUUAAGGGUUACACCUGUAAUUGUUUAUGAAAUGGUAUCUUACUGGCAAAUUAGUUUUAUUCACCCCUAUGCUUUCAUUUCAUUUCCUUGGUAAUUUUAUAGUGCUCAGAUUACAGUUUUAUUGCUGCUAAUCUUCACUUCCCUCCAAUGUAUAUACAUCUGCAACACUGGCAGGGUGAUCAACAAUUGUCUCUCCGUGUGAAACAUGAAUUCUUUAAUUCUAUGUCAUACAUUAAUUUAUGGUGUUAAUUCUCUAUGCUCUUACAUAAUUUUUUGGCAAGAGUUCAUUACAUUAUUUGUCAUCUUCGAUUUGCAUUUUGUAGGAGCUGUUGGGCAGACCUAUAAAAUUGAAGUUCAGUCAAAAGAAUGAUGACAAAUCUGAAAAUGAAGUGGAAGAAACGACCAAGGAACAACCUGCGGAUCAAUAGCUUCACACUGAUUCUGGCUUUGAUGAUGGUGCUUGCAGACAGAAGAGGAAAAUUACAAGUUAAGUUGAUGUUCUUCCUCUUAUCCUGUAUAUGAGCAGCCAGGAGCACCAUCAUCUACGUUUUUGCAUUUCCUUAGAUUAUACUCUGUAAGUACUCAAGCUAGCAGUCUGUAACGGCCUUCGUCUGUUGUAUGAUAUUCUCCCUGCAGAUUUUACACUAUACGGUCUUAGCAACGUAGAAAUUGUACAAUCAUGAAUCUUGUGGCAGCUCAAUACUAGGCACAUAGUUUGUGUACACAAAUAUGAUUGUGAAAUCUCCAUAGCAAUUACUUACAAAUAAAUGAGACUUUUCUUACUUUAGCCUUGGUGAAUCCUAGAAGUUCCAUUGAUAUGCUAUUGUGAGGCAAUGAAAAGAUUACCAGUGAGUUGACCUAUUUUUCCCCAAAAAAAAAAAAAAACACAAAUACAAGUUGUAAGGACUUCAAAUCAAUUGAAGAAACCAAUAAUUUCAAAAUUCGACCUCCGAAUGGGGUGGGAAGUUGAAUGAUGCCUACGAUCUUUUUUUCCAUUCGAUAUGCAAAAGACCGAGGCAUCAAACAUCGAGUCAUGCUAAAUUCAAAACCAAUCAAAUUUAAUUCAUUUUUUUCUUUCAAGGACUUAAUAAAGCAAAGUGAAAAGUAGUGGAAAUGGAUAUAGAGAAAAUGAACGGUUUCAUCCUUCACAUUUCACAAAAAUAUUCUUUUCGUCCUUCACUUUUAAAAUGAAGUAAUUUCGUCCUUGACAUUUAAAAACUAAAAUUAUUAUAUCCCUGAAUCCAAAUUUCAAUCUGAAUCAAAUCACCAAUCAACCUGAUUACAAAUUUUGGAGGUAUAAUUGGUAGAUCACUUGGUUAACUCAACUUGAUAUUCAUGUAAAAUUUAAUGAACCUAAAAAGAAAAAAUUAUAAUAUAAAAAAGAAAGAUUAAUCAUUUCUACAUUAUCAUUGUAUAUACUGACGGUUUUAUGUACCACCAUAUCAUUUUAAUUUAAAUUUAAACACCAAAUUUUAUAUUUAUGAUACACAUCUAGAUUCGCAAGCGGAUAUACUAACGGUGCAUGAAAAGAUUUAUCAAAAAAAAAAACUCUAUUAUUCCAAGACAAAGAAUGGCCUUUUAUGUUAUAAUUUUUAUUUUUUUGGUUUAAUAAAUGCCAUGUGAAUAUGAUGAAGUUGACCGAAUGAUCUAUCAAUUCUAUUUUCAAAAUUUAUUACUGAGUUAUUGGAUGGUUUGAUUCAUAUUGAAAAUUAAGUUCAGGGAUGUAAUAGCUUUAAUUUUUAAAUGUCAGAGACGAAUUUGCUUCAUUUUAAAAGUGAGGGACGAAAGGAAUAUUUUUGCGACAUGUAAGGGAUGAAACAUGUCAUUUUCCAAUGGAUAUAAUACAAGAUCUAAGUACAAAAUUUUGGUUUGUUUAAUAAAGAUCUAUAGAGUUAUAAACACAAGAAAUGUUCCCCUAGAUAUUUUUUGCAAAUGUGACCCAAGUAUAGGUGUGCGAACGAGUCGAGUCAAGUCAAGUUUUAACCUAAUCAAACUGGGUCUCAACUUAACUUUAAGAAACUCAAAUUCGACGAGGUCAAAAUGUCAAGUUCGAUCUUAAAUUUAAAAAAACAUAAUUAUUUUUAUUUUUAAAAAAUAAAUAAAAUAAUAAAUUUUCUUAACAAAUAAUAAUAUAUUAGAGAUAUAUAUGUAAAUUUACUAUUAAAAUAAAUAAAUAUAUAUAUAUAUAUAAUCGAGCUCGUGAACUAAUGGGUUUAAUAUUUUUGAACUCGAGUUCGACUUAAUCGACUCGAUCUCGACUCAAGCUUGGACUCGAGCGGCUCCGGAGCGGUUCAAUUCGUUUGCAACCUACCUGAGAGUAGGCGUGUAUCCUUGUAGGGUAGUUGUGGAAUCAUAUAUAUAUAUAUAUAUAUCUACCAACUAGAUAAGAGAACAACUCAAGUUCUCCAUUGAUGCCAAGUGUCAAGGUCUCAUUUGAGGAAACAAAUUUAAUUUCUUUAUUUUGGACAUUAAUGAGAGAGAAAUGUCUAUUUGAGCCUUGGUAUUGAAGUUCAAAGGGCUAAUAGUUCCUCACUAUUUAGGGGCUAAUUGGUAAAAAUAGUUGAAAUAUUUUCAUUUGAUUCUUUUGUUUGGUUUUUAAUUGGUGAGAAAGGUCAAUUAAAUCCUUUUAUGAAAAAUAGCUUUUUAAAUAGUUGCUAACUAUUUAGGGUUAUUUUUGUCCAUUUAAAUUAUUCCUUUUAUAUUUCUUUGGUCAAAUAUAAAUAGUUGUAAACUAUUUGGGUGUCCUUUUAUCACAUGGGGUCCUAAUUAAAUAUUCCAAAUAUAAAAGCCGUUAGACAGCCAAAGUCUUCCAAAGAAAGAUUACUUCUCCACGUCUUUGUUCCCUGCAUUAUAGAGCUAUGACGAAGCACGUGACUUCAGUCUUUUCUCGUUCCAAACUGUGGGCCAUUUUUGUACUCAAAAACAGUGAGGAAAGGAAAAGGUUUCGGCCCCUUUCUUUGGUUUGACAGGAACCAACGAAGUCAAAUAAAUGGUCUUAUUAGUCACUGAAGUUUUUCUUCAUUUAGGCAGAGUUUCCUUCCUCUUUCUUUGCGUCGCAUAGCCUCUUCCUUUUCGCCGAUUAGUAGCCAGCUAUAUGCGCCUGCAUAAUGUUCAAUUUUCAGCCAAUUCCUUCAACAACUUUGUCCUUCCUUUUGAUUGCAACCCACAAAUUCCUCCGCACGCACGUGAAUUUUUGUUUUCCCCCAAAAAUUAGGUCACUGAAAUUUCUUUCCCCAAAAUCUGCGAGCCUGCAAAAUUUUCAGUUUUCUGCCAAUUGUUCCAGCAACUAAUUGUACUUCCUUUCGAUUCACUUCCAAAAAAUCCUCCUCAUCCACGUGAAUUCUUCUUUUCCCCAAAAAACAGCUCAUUUUAGGUAUGGCUACUGUACCGAGUUAUCAUCCAUGGUACAGCUUUCAGAACUUUUUAUUUCCAGCCUUAUAUAUACAUUUGUUUCCCACUUUUGCCGGUAUUCAGAAGAGGAGCAAACAAAAUCUAGGUAUGUUUCUAUUUUCUCUCUUCUUAUUUUUGAGUUGCAAUUUUUUUACUUUGAAUGUUCUUCCCUCCUGUUUAUCAUUGGCUUCCGUUAAUUAGACACUGUCAUGUGUUUCAUAUUAUGCAUAAAAGAAUGAUUAUGAUGUAAUUUAUCGAUUAACUUAUGCUUAUUUUUUUCUCUGUUUUUAUUGAUUUCAAAUGUUGUUCGACUUUUGCCAACAUUUAGCCGAGCAAAGAAAAUAUAGGUAUGUUUCUAUUUUCUCUCCUUCCAUUUUGAACUGCAAUUUUUUUGUUUCAUUGUUGUUGCAUCUGUCUAUUGCCUUCCGUUAAUUAACGACCUCUAUGUGUUUCAUGUUAUGCUAUGAUGGUUAUUUUUCGGAUUAGCUUAUGUUUAUUUUUGCCUCUUUUUUAAUUUCAAAUGCUGCAUGAUGUUGUUACCUGUUUAUGUAUUGAAAAAUUACAUAAUUUAGUGUUAUUGUAGUUUGGGUUAUUAAGGUAGUCAUUCUAUAUAUAUUAGUUAGUUUUAGUUAUUCUAGGAUGCUUUGAUUUUGUCAUUGUUAUGUGCUUUUCGCUUAGUAUCUUACUUCCUUUAUAGUAUUUAUAGUAAAAUUAGAUUUUGAUCUUUUGUGUUUCAUAAUGAAGAAAAAAAGAAAAUUUAGUUCGAGUUUUAGACUGAUAGAUGAGAUAUUUGAUGAUGCUUUUGAUCUAAGCAUGUUAGAAAGAAGCAAAAAGAAAAACUUAAAUAUGCUGACUGAGCAUAUGAAGUUUACUGUCGAUUCUUCUAUUUCUCAGCCAUAUUCUCCUUUUGUAAUCAACAAUGAGAAUGACAUUUGUGAAAAUCACUUUGUUGAAACAUGUGUUUCACAAAAUCACAUCGAUAGGAAUCUAAUUCUGCCAACUGAUUGCAGAGGUAAAAAUGUUUGCUUCCCUCCAUAAAAUGCUGGAGGAAUUCAUCAUACCUCUGAUUCUACUGACAAACAUUGUUUGUUUGCAAUGAAUUCAUCUUUAAUCAAUCUGUCUGAUGUUCAGCCUGUUGGUUCAUCACAAGUCAACUGCAAUGAGCAAUCAUUUGUUAUAGGAAGUCAGUUUCAGAGUGAGCAAGUCACAAAUGUUAAAGGGAGAAAUGGUUAUUCUGAAAUACCAAAUCUAGACAUGCAACUAACUAAUUAUACUCCUUCCCUCUUUGUGAAUAAGCAUAUACCUAUAAUAGGUAGUACUCCAAUUAUAUCUUAUAAUAACAGGCCUCUUGAAUAUUUUGACAUAUAUGCUGGAGAGGUGAUAAAUAAGAAAGAAUAUAGAAGACAGGCCUACUUUAGAUGGAAAAAGAAAAGAUUCAGAGCAAAGUCUAGAUCAAUUGCUUCUACAAAUAUAAUUGAAAAGCAAACAAGCACCACAAUUGUUAAUCAUCGUUCCUCAGUUGUUGAUGUUCAGCAUAGUUCUCAAUGUCGUUCGAAGCAUCGCAGAUCAUCUCUGAAAAAAACUCAGCCAGGUCUAGAGUUAAUACUUUUUAAGUUUUCUAACAUGUUUUUCUCCACUGCCAUUAAAAUCAAUUGAAUGGUUUGAUUACUAAAUGCUGUAAAAUAAUUGUAUUUUAGGAAGAGGGUGCAAAACAGGAAGAGCUUUGUUGGAUAUAAUUCCUAACAAAGCUGAUAUCCUACCAACCCAACUAGAUUGUCCUCAUUGUGGAGCGAAGAAGUUUUUUUCUGAGACAACAUAUUUUUGUUGUCAAGAUGGUGAAGUUGUUUUAGCUCAAAACAAAAUUCCAGAUAUCUUUAAAGAGCUAUUGACUUCAUCUUCACAAGAGGCACAAUCUUUUAGAACUCUUAUUAGAACGUAUAAUAAUCAUUUUGGAUUUCCAUGCAGCCACCAAGUGAUGAACAAUAUCCAGUUCCAUAUAAGAGAACACAAUUUCCAAUUCGUUUGUGCUUUGCAAUGACAAUUAAUAAAGCACAAGGCCAAACUUUAGAUUUUGUUGGUAUAUAUUUGAAAGAACCUGUGUUUUCACAUGACCAAUUAUAUGUUGCACUUUCAAGAGUCAAAACAGCUUCGGCUGUAAAAGUCCUUAUCAGGCCAACUUAUUUUGAUGAAUCAUGCACUGAUCAUACUAAAAAUAUAGUAUAUAAAGAAAUUCUUAAAGCUUCCCAGAUUACAUUAUCUGGUUUUAACAUUCAUGGCCUUUUUUGUUUAGAAAUUUAUUAUUUUGUUUAAUUGACUCUGAUUUCUCUACCAAUAUAGGUCAUCAUGCCUAGACAUAUAUCUUCAGUGCUAGACAUUCAGAAAGGAGCAGAAAAGUGGACUGUUCUCGCACAAGUUGUUCACAGAAGGCACAAUCAACUAACUCGUGAAGUUCCACCGAGGCGAAUUAUGCGCUUUCUGCUCACAGAUACUGAGGUAUGCAAAUGAUUUUCUAUUUCUCAGCUCAUUAAAUUCAUCUAUGAGAAUAUUUUAGAUUUUGUAUAAGUACAUUUCAUGAUUUGUCUGUUCAUUACAUUUGCUUAAGGAAAAAUCCAUAGUAUUCAUGUAACUGUAUACAUACUACAAUAUUAGAACUAUAGUUUCAUUGCAACUGAAUACUCACCUAACUAUUAAAGUAUUCAUAUCUAUAAUUUUAAUUUCUGUGUGAUAAAUAUGAUAUUAACCAUUAACAUGACAGUUAUGUUUUAACUCAUAAUAUAUAUAAAACUAACUUUUUCUAAUCCUAAUCAGGGAACAAAAGUUUCUGUUGUGACUUAUGAACAACACAUCAAGAUCUUCAGCAAAUUUCUGCAGCCUUAUCAAAGAUAUUAUGUUUCUAAUGCAAUUGUGGUUCCUGCUGACCCAACAUACAGAGUUGGGAGUUAUGAAUGCUCCUGAAUUUUGAACUACAAGACUUUGAUUGAAAAUUAUGCUGAACCUGUGCCACCUAUGUUGCUUUGCAUAUUUGAGCUGACAAACUUCUCUGAUCUGCACAAAUAUGCUGAUUCAGAUAACCUUUGUAAUAAUUUUUCUUACAUUAUUUUUUAAUUUACUUGACAGUCAUUUGACAUUUUAUUGAUUUCUUACAUUCAUAUCAACACUUUUGUUUCAGAUAUUAGAGGCUUUGUCGUUCACGCAUUCCCAGUAAAACAGGCAGAUCCAGAUUGUGCUUCUAGAGACAUUAUAAUAGUGAAUGAAGAGUAAUCAAACCUGAAUACUAUCAUUUUAUUAAGUCGUUUUAGAUUAAUAGCAGUAGUUACAAUUUGUUUGUUAUACCUGACAGGAAGAAACUCAUGCUUAUGACUCUCUGGAAUGAAUUUGAACAUGAUGAAGGGAGCAAAAUAGCAGACAUGAUUAGCACUGCCCCUCUAAUCAUAGUUCUCCGUGUUAAAGUGACCACAUUCAAUAGUAAAAUUUUCACUAUGCAUUAUGAUUUCUCUAUUGUUUGGCUUCUUAGUACUUUAUGUUAUAAUUACUAAACCAUUUCACCAUUUUUACAGUUUUGUCAUUCACUACAAGGUAUUCAUCUGGAAUUCUGAUUAGUCCUCCACUCCCAGAUGACCUCUUUUUCAAGCAAUAGUAAGUCUACUUUUUUUAAAAUUUUUUACCUUAAAUUAUCAAUUAAAUUUACUGGUACAUUUUUAAUUUGUGUUCUAAACAUAAUCAUUCAGGUUUACUUUGAACAAGGAAGAAAUCUAAAAUUUGCUUAAUGCUAAAACAUACAGUGAUGCUAACUGUUUACUUUCUCCUCCAAAUGAAGAGGAUAUCAAAGCAAUCAGCACUUUUCAAGCAUCAUUUUCAAUUGUAAGAGCUAUUUGAUAUUUUCAAAUUCUGCUUAAAUAUAACUUUUUUGUCUCUAAUUGACAUUCAAAUACCAUUCUUGGUUGCUUGACUCAGCAAAAGGCAGCUUGGGUGCAAGGAACUGUCAAACUUGCAUAUGGAUUCACCAAAUAUUGGACUACUACUUGUGUGAAUUGUCACAAAAUUGUGAAUGCUAACAUUGACUGGAUCAUUCAUUGUCCUUCAUGCAAACAGCAAAGUGAAGUUGAACUGAGGUUAGACCAUAAACUUAUGCUUCUAAAUUAAACAUUCUUCGCAUUUAUUACCAUAUAUUAAUCUUAAUUCCUUCACUUGACUAAAGGGCUCGCAUUCAAAUUAUAAUAACUGAUCCUUCGAGGUCAAUACAUUGCAUUAUAUCUGGAGAAGAUGCUGAAAAAAUGAUUGAGUUCACUCCACUACAACUUAAGCAAGCACAGGAAGAUGUAAGUACAAAUUUCAUGUCUUAUAUUCAGCCAUAAAUACAAAUAUACAUAGACAAGAAUUCACAGAACCUAACUUAAAAAUUUUUUUGCUGUAGGGCUUUGGAAUAGAUAUUGAACUUAAUGAUGCCUUGAAAAAAUACACAGUUGUUUGUUUUCUGAAAUCAUAUAAGACUCCCUUCCAAGGUCAACUGCAGAGAAAGAAUACUGUCAUCAAGGCUUACAUUGCAACUGAACUAUCGCACCAUCCCCUUCCACUGGCACUUCCAGAAAACACUCAAGUUUCUUCUGCACUUGGCAGUUCAUCAGCAAGGCAUCCAGAAAAAUCAUAAAAGGAUCAGAUGUUCACCCCAACGACAAAGUUGGUACUUGAAGAAAUUGCUGGAGCCAGUUCUUACAAAGAAGGGCAGACGUCUACAACCAGUGGAGCAAAAAAAAGUCUUGACUUUCCAGAAUAUUUACCAGCAGACACACUUCCUGAACAUGCAACAAAGAUUGCUGAACAGUUUGCCAAAGAACCUGCAAAAUCAUAUAGCCCUCCUGGCAAUAUGAAGGAUAGUCCAGCAAAGAAAGCUAAAGCAAAGGAAGACUGAUAUGGUCUAAUUCUAUACUUUUGUUAUCUUUUGUUCAUUGCCUUGAUGACUGUCUUGAUUGCUUAGACAAUAUCUUUUGAAUUAUAUUAUGAUCCAUUAUUCUUUUGACUUAAAAAGUAAUGUAUCCUAAUAUAUCUAUGAAUGGUUUAACCAUCAAUGUUGUAAUUCAAUAGGCAAUGAAGCUUAUUUAAACCCCCUAAUAUGUAACUGUGGCUUGAAUUGAAGUGUGUGUUCUGCUAAGACAUGAAUGAUUGAGUUUAUGUAAUCUAUGGUUGUGAUUUGCAUAUUCAUUAUUUACCUAUUCAUUUUUCAGUUGGUCAUAUAGAUAUAUGGUCUCGAUUGCCCAGCUGUGAUUGAGUUGUUGUGAUAAAUAUGAUAUUAGUUGAUCAUAUUAGUGGGUAUAUAUAUAUCUAUACUCACACACACAUGGAGGGAAUUAACACUUGCAAGUUGAUGGAUGUAAUUAUUUGGCCUGUCGCAAGCGUGAAGGACAACAAAUUCAGAAAACUGUACGAAGAUAAGCGUUGCCCUUGUGGGUUCUGCUUAUAUUGUUUGUUUAUGGAUAAACAUAUGUUGUAGCAAAUCUUGGUGGGAUAUACAUUGUCUCAGAGAAACUGAAAAGAGAAAACUUUCUUGGAGUUUAUAUUAUAUAUAUACACAUUUUGGAACACAAAUAAGCAUAUGAGCUACCAAAAGAACAAGGGUUGGUCAAGAUAAACAGUCACCCUUUCUCCCCACCCUUUCUUUUACUUUUUAAAGUUACUGGGAUGUGUUUCUGCAUAGGAGUGAAUAAAUUCUUGAUUUUAACGCCAAUCAUAUUCUUGACUGAUUUUGAUUCGAGUCUCGAGUUACCAAGAAAGAUACCUGAUUGACAGGAAUACUCCAGCCCAUCAUAUUCUUUAUAUAUAUAUAUAUAGUUGCUGAUUAGUGCUUUAACGAAAAAGAAAAAAAAAAUCAGUCACCAUGAUUCAUCUCAACAAAAGCUAGUUAGCUAUAGGAAGAGACAGAGUGCAGUUUGACAUUCUUAAUAUUCCAUUCAAAUCAAAGCUUUAUUCUUGAUCACUCCUGUUUGGAUAUCAAUUGAUGAAUUGAGUUUGUAAAGCUUGAGAUGACUUGGUGUUAUUUGCGCAUAGCCUACUCCUUAAUAUUCAUUAUUAAAAAAAAAAUGAGAGUUCCACAUCUUAAAAGUGAAGGGACAAAAUCAUGAAUUUUACAAAGAAUGAAUAUAUGCCAUAUUUUAACCAACUCGUCUUAGGUGCAUUCGUCACCAUUCAAAGCAUGAGAUGCAGGUCUGACUGCUGCAGGCUGCGCAUAGAGUAAAAUUUAAAGGGUGUGUAGUAAUGCAUUCUUUCAUUUAGAAAUGGAAAUCAUUCAUUAUAACCCUCGUUAUCUAGUUAGGUCAUUUUUUAGAUAAGUAAGGAGUAAAAGUACUGUAGAAGUGAUUGAUUGGUCAAAAAAAAAAAAAGAAUAUAUGCCCUAUGUUAAGUGGCGUUUACUCUUCUUCCCAUUUAUAGGAUUCCCGGACCUAUAGGACUAUGAUGCCCCUUGGAAAACGAAGGUGACGAAUCAUUUGACAUAUUUAGGCCUAGUUUGGAUUGCGAUUUUUCAUCGGAAAAUUACGUCAUUUUUUGUGAUCAUAUUUUCCUAUUAAUUUUUUCCCUCACAUACAUCAAAUUGCUAUAAUAAUUUUUCCAUGCAAAAUGCAAUCCAAACACAACCUUAGAUUUUUCUAUCAUGCUAUAUCCUACGUUACCUAGAUCCUCAUCUUUUCCAGAUACACUGCACGGGUAGCAUAUAGCCAUAGAGUACCAAAAUUGUUGUUUUUUCUAGGGAAAAUCAACUAGUUUGUCUCCAAUUUUCAAUCGUGCUGAAUAGAACAUUCCCCUUUAAAUCAUUCUCCCUCCUCUCUUUUCUUUCUUCUUUUUUCUUUUAAAAAUUUGUUCUGUAUUUUUGAUCAGCUAGCUUCUAUUUGUCUAUUUAUUCAUUUAUGGACACAUUUGGUCAUCUAGCUUUGAAUGAUACUCUUUUUUUUUUGGAAAGAUAGCUUUGAAUGACACCGAUACCCUACUGAUCUUUUAUCUAGUUCUGCAAAGUUGGGCAGGUUCAAGUCUUGCAGCUGAAUAUGAUUUCAAUCACUGGUUCAGGUAGAUCUAACUUGAUGGAUGGCUGCAAUUCAAAUCAGAUUUCGAUGUCUCACAUCAAUACAGUUUCUGUUGUUUCAACUUUCUAUUUGUCGGUGAAGAUAUGGUAAAUUGUGUCAAUUUCACAUCUUUAUCUUUAUGAAAAAGGGCAACUGUCUCGCUCUGAAUACACAUGCAAUGUGAUAUUCAUUCAGCUACUUCACUUUGGCUAGUGGCCUCUUGAACAAUGAUAUAAAAGCAUUGAUUACUUUGAUGAAUUCCCAACCAACAUGACCACCUUAGCUCUUUGUCAACAAACCAUUAUCUGAAAAAAAGUUAAACAAAGGAAUUGAUAAAGAAAAGAAAAGAAAAGAAAGAGGAAAAGAAAAUGGACUAUAACCAAUCAAAGAACAGUCUUCCUCGGCUUUCUAUCCAAGCUGCUUUUUUCUGCUUUUCCACCUUCAGCCUUCAGCUCAUAUUUUCAACAAAUGUCCCAUCAGAGCACUCUCUCUUAUUCUUCAUACUUGAUACUCGCUCUUCAAUCCUCUCAAACUUUCCUCAAUUUUCAUCUCAAAUCAUGUUAUAUAAUUAAAUGUGCUCCCUCCCUCCCUCCAAAAACAGUUCUUAUCACUGCAUAGAUAAGCAAACGUUUACUUUCGUACUUUGCUUAUGUUUUUGUGCUGUGAUAAACCAGGCAUUAGUUACUAUUACUCUAAUCUUUCUUUCUGUCUUCUGUUCAAGAUGGGUUCUAUGGCCAGCCCAGAACCUUGGGUUGCUUACACAAACACCAAAGAUUGUUCUCAGGGUUUUUGUAGUGUUUACUGCCAACAAUGGUGCUAUAAGGAAUUCCCUCCUCCACCUCCCUUUGAAUUCCCUCAUGCAAGUGCUGGAAUUUGCUUUCCACCUUUUGUUAUUGCCAUUAUAGGCAUUUUGGGAAGUGCUUUGCUUCUUGUGAGUUACUAUGCAAUAGUUUCCAGGUAUUGUAAGAAGAGAGAUUCCUCCAGAAGGAGAGAAACUCACUUCCCAAUUGUAGAAUCAGUGGAGAAUCAACAUCCUUCAAACCAUGAGCCCUGGAUUGUUUCUUCUGGCAAUGGCUUAGAUGAGGCUCUGAUCAAGUCAAUUACACUGCUCAAGUACAAGAAAGGAGAUGGCCUAAUUGAAGGGACAGAUUGCUCGGUUUGUCUAAGUGAAUUUCAAGAUGAUGAAAGCUUGAGGCUUUUACCAAAUUGCAGCCAUGCUUUUCAUGUAAUGUGCAUUGAUACUUGGUUCAAAUCUCACUCGAAUUGUCCAUUAUGUCGUGCAAACAUUGCUUUUGCCAAUGCUUCUUCUCCUUCUCAAUUGCCUCCUGUGAUGGAAUCUCCACCAGGCAAUGAGUCCACAUUGCAUAGCAAUCACGAGAUUGAGAAUGUAGCUUCUGAAGAAGACUUGGAGAUGGGAAUCAGAGAAGCAGAAUCACAGAAUGACAUCGCGAGAAUUCCCACCAGACAGGCUACCAAUUUGGGCACUUCAGGUGAUCACAGCAGACUAAGUAGCGCUACAAUUGAAGAAUGCGAAAAAAUAACAAGAUCAGUGUCUAUGGAUUGCACAAGUCAGAGGCGAUUAUCGUUAGCUGAUGUUUUGCAGAUUGAUCGGGACGAAGAAGAUCAAUCAAUGGAAAAGAUCACGCUUAGAGAUGAUGUUGGGACAUCAAAACAACCACAUGUAGAUAUGAUCAGGUCUAGCAAUAGGAAUAUAGUGUUGCAUUGUGUCUCAAGCCCAGCUAUUCUGAAGAAACCAUUUUCGAGUGCUAGAUUUCUUUUCACAAACGCUGGAAGGGAAGGCAUGAACUAAUUCCCCUGUGAAAUUUUGGAAAAUACAUUAUCAAAACGAAAAGAAGAAAUGUCAUAGAGCAAUCAAAGCUCCUAUUUUAUUAUUUUUGUUUUGCUUGUCCUUAAAUUUUUGUUUCCUUCACCGGAGAAUAAUGUUUUUGCCUUGAAUUUUUGAGGUCCAAAAAGCAACUAAAGUGAAGAAGUUUGCAUGGACAGCACUUGCAUGUUUCUCCUUUCUUCUUUACAAUUCCACUCUUAGUUUCAAUCUAUUACUUGGCCAUUCUUGACAUUUAUUCAUCCAGAUGAAGAAACCAGCUCUCGUUCAGUGUUUUGUUUUUCGUUCUUAUUGGCACAUGCAACACCUUACCCUUUAUUUAUGUUCUUCAUCACAAGUGCCAUAAAUUAAUGGUAGGCAAUCUGCAUUUGCAACUGAAAUUUGGACUCUUGAAUGUUUCUAUUGCUCGUGUUUAUAAAUCCACCAGUUCUUCUGAUAUUAGUGUUUGAAGAUUAGAUUUGGACUGCUUGAACAAAAUGAAAUACUCAAUAGUUUUUAAUAAUUUCUGAUUAGAAGACUAAACCAAAAGUUACUAGUAAAUAAAUGUUUAAUUGCCUUGAGAAAGAUUGCUUUGUCCAGCCAAGUAACUUUCUGUGUGUGGGAUGUUUUGAUGAAUAUUUGGUAAUUAUAACAAUCUAAAAAGAAUAUUUAAUAUAUUGGACAAGUAAGCAUGGCCUCCUCAAAAUCAUUAUAGCAAGCCAACAAAUGGCCCAAAAAGACAUUCUUGACGUUUGAGCUAAGUUACAUAAUCAUAUCCUCAAAAGAAGAAGAAAGAGAGAAGACCAGAAAAAAAAGAAAGAAAGAAACCGAGAAUCAUGCCCAACAUAAAUUCCAGGUUGGGACAAGUUUAUGUACUAUAUUAUUCAAACUUCUUCUUUUCGUGCAGUAUCAUGGAUUAUGACAAAUGAAAAGGAAAGGAUAAUAGUGUCCUUCAGAUUUGGCCUUGCUGCAAAAUUGUGCUUAAAACUAGGGUUGCAAACGAAUCGAGUCGCUCGCGAGCGGCUCGAGUCAAGCUCGAUAUUAAUCGAGCUCGAGCCGACUCGAAUCAAACUCGAGUUAAGAAUAUUAAGCUCGUUAGCUCGCGAGUCGGGUCGCGAACUUGAGUAUAUAUAUAUAAUUUUUAUUUAAUAAUAAAAUUACGUAUAUUAUAUAUAUUUUUUUAUUUUUUAUUUUUAUAGUAAAAUUACGUAUAUAUCCUUAAUAUUUUAUUAUUUAUUCAGAAAAAAAAUAUUAUUUUAUUUAUUUUUUAAAAAAUAAAUUUUUUAUUUUUUAUUUUUUUUCGAGCUCGAGCUCGAGCUCGGCUCGACUUGAUUCGAGUCGAGCUCGAACUCGAAAAUUGCCGACUUGUCGAGCUCGAGCUUGAUAAAAUUUAGUUGAGACUCAACUCGAUUAGCUCAAAACUCGACUCGGCUCGACUCGUUUGCAGCCCUACUUAAAUCAUUAACCCGUUAAACAAAAUUCUGCCCUUCUGUUAGUGCCCUUUUGUUCAUUACACAUAUACUACUACAUAUUCUGGCUGAUGAUCCCAUGGCGAAUGGUUGCCAAACCACGCCUUCAUUUACGCACUUGCUGCUUAAAAAAGUUGUUGAGCUUGCUUGCAUGAACUCUUGGCGGGGUGCAAGGAGGGUUUUCGGAUUCCCCUUCUUACAAAUGUUCAAUCAAGUUGUUGGUUAAGCCAAAAAAAAAAAAAAAAAUCCUAACGUGUACUUAAAUUACAUCUAACCUACUAUGUGAAUACGUAAAAUCAUAAUUAUUGCACUCGUGCAUUUAGGCCUUGUUUCAUAACCCAAUUCAGCACUUAAAUUUAAUGGAUUUAUUUGAUAACCAAAAUUGAACAUUUAAAUUAAUUAAGUGGCACUGAAUUUUCUAGGCAAAACUUACUCCCAAAAUUAAGUGAUAAGCUAUUCACUUGUUACUGAAUGUGAUGUGCACUCAAAUGUAUUAGAUUUAAUACUUAAAAAUUUAAUAAUUUAAUAGAUUCAAAAUUCAGAUUUUAAAUUUCAAAUUUCAGUUUUCAAACUUUACUUUUAUCAAACACACCUUUAAAUAUUUUUUCAGAUUAACUGCUAACUAGCAUCUAAAACCCCUUUUAACGAACACCCUUAAGCCCCCCCCCCCCCCCCUCCUCAAAAAAAAAAAAGGUUACCUUGUCAGAUUAGUGGAUUUGUUGGCCUAUGCCACCAGUAUUCACACCUAGAUUUUGUCAUUUUGUCAUCCAAAUAUUAUGGUGUGUGAGAAAUCCACAUAUAAAACAAAGGGUAUAAAUAUUUUAAACAACUUUUGGGGAGUCAGAAUUGUUCGGAAAAUUGCGUUUCAAGUGGAGGAAAAAAAAAGUGGGGCCUAAACUCUGCUAACUGAUUCCUGAACAAAGUGCCGGGAAGGGUGGGCACUGAAGAGUGAAGGCGAAAGGAAACAUGACAUCAAAGAGGUAAACUAGAGUUAGUACAAAUUUUUACAAAAAACAGUAGUCCCAGAUCGAAGUCUGUUUACCAAGAACACCUCUAUAGAUGCUACUGUCCAGCACCGGCAAAACUCGCCAACCAGGAGACUCUUCGAAUGGGGUGCAAGGAGGGCUUCCCAUGACCGCCUUCUUAGGCUUUUGGCCCGUGGAACUAGUAAUUGUUUAUAUGGGCUAAAGAAGUGGGCUUUGACAAAGUUCCACUUGUAGUUGUCUUCGCAAUGCUUUAAAACUCAAUUCGAACCAGCUGGUUGAACCAAUUGAACCAUCAACUAGAAUCCUUUUUGGUCUGAAUUUGCUUAAAAAACCUAUUAGUAUCAAUUUAUAUUUAAACCAGUUAAAUCGUCUGAUUCAACCACUGAAUCAUUGACUCAAAACGGUUUUGUGAGAACCGAUCGGUUCAAUAUCAAGCCUUGAUUAAGCCAACAAUUUUAAAUUUGGUUAACUAAUCUUAUUAAUGAUAUUCCAAAUUUAAUAUUUUACCAAUUAUUCAUGCAUAAUUAUCUCCAAUUAAUUAGACAAUAAUAAAUAUUUCCUUAUUCGACUCAUUUAUCUCUCUCCUUCAUAAUUGCAUAUUAACUCUUGUUUAACAUAUAUAACAUUUAAUUGACUAUAUUAGUUUUUUCUCGAGAUAACUCCAAUGCCUAUGCUAGACCAUAGGGAGUUCAGGAGUUGAAGGCAAGUAUAUAAGUUGACAAGUGGAUGAUUUUUUGGGGUGUUUGGAAGAGAGAUAUUUAUACCCGCAAGCAAACCGUAGUAUGAAUCUCGAAAAAUGAAAAAUGAUGUGAUAGUAAUAAGGGUAUCAUAGCUCAAACCCUAAAUGUGUAAUAUCUGUAAGAUAUCAGAUUAGGUGUCAGAUGCGAGUGUCAGCCACGUGUCAGCGAGAGACAGCUAAGCAAAUCCAAGAUUGUGUGAGGCUUCGAUAGCUGCUUCAAGAGGCGAAGAAGGUAACCAAGUGGUCCCACAAUAUUAUUUCUAAACAAUUCAACAUUCUCCAAAAAAAAAUUAUAUUUAAAAGAGAAGAAGGUAUUGUUUCUAAGAGUUUUAACUGAACUUCUCAAGUUCACCACAGUAAAUUAGAGGGAAGAGUUCCAUUUAGUAACUUAUGCAUGGAGCCCAAAAUUUGUUUGUUUUUUUUUUUUUUUAUAAAGGCUACCUUGUUUGGAUUAUGAUUUUUCACAAAAAAAAUUUUACAUUUUCUUUUAAUACAUCUCCUAAUCACAUUUUUAUCUCCCAUAUAUUCGUUUUUCUAUAAAAAAAAAAUUUCCAAUAGUAGCAAUCGUUAAAUUCAUGACAACCAAUUUGAAUUUCAAAUUCUGCAUAUAUGUUAUGCACCUUAUUGUGAUACUAUAUACACUGUAAGUAAAUGUAAGAUCAAUUCAAAAAAUAAGUACUUUAUUUUUAAGAUUAUUUUUUUUUUGCACAUUGACGGUGCAUAAAGUAACGGGUGUUGAUGGCUUGAAGAAUAUCAUAUAUGUAAAGAAAUUAAAAUUAAAAUUUAAUUUAUAAUUAAGUGAUAUACAUUCAAACCUGUCAGUGUAUAUCCUCACUAUAUACAAGAUUUACCUUUGUCUUUAUAUCAAAUAGUUUAGCUCAUAACAUAAAAGGCAAUAAUUUUGAAGAUAAUGCCAGCAUCAAAAUAAUGCCAGUUUCAGUGGUUUUGGUUCUGACUUCUUGUUUCCAAUGCAGAUUGAUCAUCUGGUUUUUCUACUGUACCGGUUCCAUGCUCUAACAACAUAAUAAGGCUUAAUUUUAAAUCUCUGUUUCCACAACUAAACUUAUACAAACUGGUUGAGACAUUCAUCAACUGUGGUACAUUUCGUAUCAGCAAAAAACUCCCAUCCUUGGACCGCAGAGCCAGUCAUAUUUGUCAUUUUCCUUUUCCCUUUUUUUAUCAUCUGGUUAAUAUCUUUUGAGUAAAGUACAAAAAAGUCCCCUGUGUUAAACCUAAUAUAUAGAAAAGCCCCUUAUAGUUUCAAAAUAUACAACACGACACUCCAUACUUUGAAUUAAAUUGUAAAGGUGACGGAAUCCGUUAAACUUAACGGAAAUGAUUUAUUGGAAUCUAAAAAAAAAAUUUUAUACCUAGUUUUUAACAAAUAUACUUAUUCUACCCCUUAACCCUCAAUUCUCUCUAUCUUGAAAAUAAAAUAAAUGAUUUUUUUAACCUGUCUUUUGCUUAAUUAUACCAAGGCAUUCUAGUCAUUUCAUCCAUUUCCGUAAGUUUAACGGAUUCCGUCAUAUUUACAAUUUAAUUCAAAGUACGGGGUGUCGUGUUAUAUAUUUUGAAACUACGGGGGACUUUUCUGUAUACUAGGUUUACCACAGGAGUUUUUUUUUAUUUUUUACCCAUAUCUUUUUCACCAACUGAGUUGGGUUUGGGAACACAAAUUUCUUCCAUUAUAGGAGAUUUUUGUUUGGCAUGUAGAGGUGGUGGAUUCAUCUGGACACUAGCUUUCUGAAAUGGCCUAAUUUGGUGCUGAGCCAAUGAGCUCAAACUAGACGUUAUAGACUUAGAGUCUAGGUCCCCCCAAGAUUCUUGUUGGAUAAACUUUAAAUUGUAGAAAGGAAAACCCCGUGAAGGCCAUUAAUGCCAAAAAAUUUGCAUUCAUUCCACUAUGUUUCAUUCCCCGUGAUCCCAUAAAUUAGCUUUCUUCAAUAAUCCACCAACCCAUCUUUGAUUCUGCCAUCAUAUUCAGUAUUCACCAACUUCAUUUCGUGCAUCAUAAAUAUGAUAUCCCAGUGUUACAAAAAGCCCACAUUUUCUCCCAAGCAAAUGAUCAAGUCCUCCGGAAAAUCUGUCCAUCUAUGCAACAUGGAUAAACUUUCCUCGCUCAUGGAAACUCAUCUGCUGCUCAUCUUAGUAUGCAUUCCUCUGGGCAGGUCCUUGACGGUGACCGUGCCCGAUUCCAGCUCGCCAUCAGCCCUAGUCGACGGCCCACAAACUGCAUUCACCGUGAACAACAAUGGUGCUCGAACAGAUAUCCGCGAACAAGAAGCAGUUUACGACAUCAUGCGAGCCACCGGGAAUGAUUGGGCCACCGAUAUACCGGACAUUUGUCGCGGCCGGUGGCACGGGAUCGAGUGCAUGCCGGACAAAGACAAUGUGUAUCAUGUAGUGUCCCUUUCCUUCGGUGCGUUGUCUGAUGAUACUGCAUUUCCAACUUGUGACAUAGCCAAAUCCUCCAUUUCACCUUCCAUCACAAAACUCCCACGCCUGAGGACUUUGUUCUUCUAUCGCUGUCUUACUAACAAUCCUCAGCCCAUCCCAUCAUUUUUGGGCCGGUUGGGAAAAAGCCUACAGACUCUGGUCCUAAGGGAGAAUGGCCUUGUUGGGCCCAUCCCAAAUGAGUUGGGAAAUCUCACCCGUUUGAAAGUGCUUGAUCUUCACAAGAAUGAGUUAAACGGUUCGAUACCCGGUUCACUUGGCCGGAUCACCAGUCUAAGGUCGUUGGAUUUGAGUGGAAACCAACUCAGCGGUCUGAUUCCUGACCUAAGCUUCCCUCAAUUGAAUGUGCUAGACCUCAACCAAAAUCAUCUUGUCGGUUCAAUUCCCACCACUCUCAUGAAUUGUCCUUCGCUGAUAAAAUUGGACAUGAGCCGUAAUUGCCUAUCCGGUCCAAUCCCUGAGUCAAUCAGCGGUCUAGAGAACCUAAUUCUCUUAGACUUGGGCUACAAUAGUCUCGCCGGUCCACUUCCAGCGUCUCUGAAAGAAUUGAAUUCCCUUCAAGCUUUGUUGCUCAACGGCAACCCGACCAUGUCCACCACAAUCCCAAGCUCCAUAUUUGAUGGUCUGAAGGACUUAGUGGUUCUAAUAUUAUCCGAAAACAAUCUGCAGGGAAUAAUACCCGAGUCACUCGGCCGGUUGAGAAAGAUUCGAGUUAUCCAUCUUGAUGGGAAUAAGUUGAAUGGUUCAAUUCCAGCCAGUUUUGGGGACCUGAAUGACCUCAGUGAGCUAAGGCUAGACAAUAAUUUGUUAAUGGGACCUGUCCCAUUUAAUAGAGACAUGGUUUGGAGGAUGAGAAGAAAAUUGAGGCUCAACAAUAACUCUGGUCUAUGUUAUGAUACGAAAAGUGGGCUUGGAGAUGAUCUUGCUACAUCAUCUGAUUCGGUCAUUGGAAUUUGUGAGACAUCCAAAUAUGGAAUGGCAACAAAAGCCGUCCGACAUAUUUCUACUAUUGAUGGAACAGAGUUGGGGCCGUUAGGUACCAAAUCAGCUGGUAGAGUUCAGAAGCCUGCAGUCGCUUGUUUCAUGCUGCUACAACUUGCGAAUUUUCUUCUGUUUGCUGUUUAUGUAAUGUGACACUUCGGAGGGGAAAGCUAGGGAGGUGUAUAAAGUUAAUACCAGCGUUAUGAAUCUAAAUGGUAAGUGUAUAUCUAAAUGUUUCUAGAAAAUAGGUUUCCACACAUUGUAGAUUCCAAAUUUGAUCCCAUAAAUAUAUUGUGAUCUUGCAUGUAAGCAAUUUUCCUCGAGGACUUAUAUUUGAACAGUGCGAACUGGGAAUUUGAAGCCAACAACGCCCUAACGUUUCAUAUCAGUUUAACAGGGAAAAGAAUUAUUCUGGACAUAGACUAAUAUUGCUAACUUUACUCUCUACAAUAUUUGUUUUACCACCGGAUUAUGGUCUCUUUCCUGAUACCUUAGGACUGUUGAAAGGUUUUGCAACGACCCAGAGCCAAAUUUUGGCGAAAAGGCAGCAAAAAAGUAUAAUCCCACAAGUUCAAUUAAGGGGGGAAGAGGUUAAGUAAGCUAGCAAUUCACUUUCACUUUGAUGAGGAGAUUCUAGACCCUAUGUAUUUUAGUACACUUUUGUAAAGUCCAAAUUGAGCCCUUGCUCAUAUAUUGUACUAUCCUUUUAUUAGCAAUGAAAUCUCUAUCGUUUUCGGAAAAAAAAAAUUAAGGGGGGAAGAGAGCUAUAAUUGCGGUGUUUAUUUUUUCAGCAUCUGUAUUAAUCAAAGUACCGUAUAUUUGCACUUUCAAGAUACUCUAAAUAGUAUAUGUUUUCACUUUUAUCCUACCCACACUCUUCGUACCUCUAACUAUCAGGUUUAAGAUUUGAAUUCUGAACCUGAGUUUGGAGAGAACCUCAAAAGUUACAAAUCACUAGACCGACUCUAAUAAUUCUCUUUGUAUAUUUCGUCAUUUCAAAAGUUACAUAUAAUGUAAAACACGAGCUUAGCUGUCUACUAUAAUAAACUAUCUUCUUCAGACCGUGUCAGGCACUCAUUCUAGAAGGCCUAAACGAUGAACUGUUAAUAAUCGAUUAGCACAAAUCUGUGAUUACCUUUUCCUUUCGCAUGGAAGCUGCCAUGAAUUUUAUGGUCAUAUCAUUUACGCUUUACUCUUUUAGGGUGAUUUCCUAAAAAGAUGUAGCUCAAGAACAAAAUCUUUCAAAGGGCUCCGGAGUUACAUUGGGCCGGAUUGGAUCUCGUCACUCCCAGACCCGCUUGCCCACCAUGGACUGGGUAAGCACUUUCAACCUAGGUUGGAUGGCGUGUCGGGGCGAAAAUGGUAUGGACUCCGGAUCUUGGAUUGCUCCUGGAUCUUGAUGGGCUGACGGUUCUUAACCAUCCAAUGUUUCACAGGUGCUCCAUCCAUCAAAGUAUCAAACAACUACUUUUUAGACUUUUCCCCCAUUUGAUUGAAGAUUUUUUACUUUUAUUACUGUACAGUAGAGGUGUGAUUCGGACGGAUUUGAACGGAUUAUAACUGGAUAUUGGAUAUAAUCAAAUCAACUCAUUUAUGCCUAUUGGGUCAAAAUGAUUAUACUCAUUUAAGAAAUGGGUAUGGAUAUAUCUAAUGACGCAUUUAUGACUCACUUAAAAUUUUACUUAUUUUUUCAAAUUUUUUUCACAUGUUGUUUGAGAAAAAAUGAUGACAUUUCAUUGUUAUUACAUUGAUAAGAAAUUCAAAUUUAUGUGCUGAACACCCAAUAAAAGUUGCUAAUUUUUAUAUAACUUACUAUUUCAGACGAAAAACUUAGCAACGAAUUUUUAGUCAUUAUCCUAUAUAGGUGGAUGAAUCCAACAAAUAAUUAAAGUGGUCACUAAAAAUGUGAUGACCUAUAAUAUCGGGUAAAAAUCGUCUCGUUACUCUGACGAUCCUUACCGAAGCAUUUUCCCCUAGCUGUCGUCUAGUUAACAUCAAAAUAGAUCAUUUAUCCAAAUUUAGAUUGAGAUGAAUUUGUUUAUAUACGUACAUCAAUUUGUAUGAACUUUGUUGAAAAUAACAUCCAAAUCAUAUUUCUUCAUGUUAUUAAAUUAAUUGUACUUUCCGUAAGGUUAUUACAUUUCAAGGGUUUCUGUUCUAUUUUAUCCCUCUCAAAAUAUUUGAACCACGAGGAUCAGUAAAUCUGGUGAGUUUUGUUCGGCAAGUCCUGUUAAGGUAUGCACCACAUUUGUACCAAGUGCAAGUAGUUAUUUUAAUUACCACACAAAGUUAAAAGACAAACCAUUGCAACAACAAGAAGAAGAACCUCAUCUUGAAUCGUGUGAAGGAGAAAUGUUCACCUAGUCAUCCACUUCGACUGGUUGUGCCAAUAGGAACUUACUAACUAGUUACACAAUGGAUCAUGCAGAGUUGCACAAACAUGCGAUGUGUAGGCUGUAGCCAGCUACAUCCAAAUGAUACUUCAUUAACUAAGAAACUUGUAGUUGUACUGCAUGGUAUAUAAUUAAUGUAGUAAUUUAAUUAGUGGGAUUUGAUCAGUUUCUUCGUCCCUCUCUCUCCCUUUCCUUCUGCAAUCCUUUGCAUGCAAAGGGGUCCAUCAACGUCUCUUUCUGCUUCCACAAGAUGACAUGAACCUUAAUGAGGUUACAGAAUAAUCCCACACUAACCAACAAAACUGAAAGCUAGAGAAUCAACGCAUUUGCCACUCUCAUCGAUCCCAUAAAUUUCUCCGUACCAUUUUGCUCUUGCCCUCCAUUUUCUCUUUUGUUUUAUUUUGAAUGAGAGCCGCACCCGGCGCCACCACCGGAUGCCGUAACAUAACAUGCAUGGCCGGUGAUUGAAACAUGUCACAAUUUACUUGAACAGAGACAGCGAAAUAUCACCAUUGACAGAAACAUGGACAGAUGCUGAUCUAUUAUGGUCACGAAAAAUUGAAUAGAUUUACACGAAUUAACUUAAGGUGUACAAACAAUAGAGAGCUAUAUAUAUAUAUGCUAUUCUCUCUUCUUCUUCUUCUUCUUCUUCUUCUUCUUCUUUUUAUAAUAAAGAGGAUUAACAGUAAAACUCUACCUACCUUCUGGUGAUUUGAACCCAGAAUUGGUUAUCAACAAAGUUACACUAUUGUAGUCACAUAUACUAUAUGCUAUAUGUUCAUGUUACCUGUAGAUCACUAUGUAAAUAGAAUAGGUACAUUUUUUGCGUAAUUUAUCAAAAGAUUCUGAGAAAAUGUGAUGCACACGUAAAAUGAAAUAAGUGUACAAUGGGCAGUAUAGAGGUUUACUAGAUUGUGCUUAGGCCGUCAAACAAGCUUCUGAGGCUGCAUAAGCAAACGCAUCCACAAUGGCGGGCGCAGCUCACAAACAAAAAGCAGACUGAAGAGAGAGAGAGAGAGAUGGUUACCGGCCGCAAUGGCUAAGUCUAGUUCCGAUGACUAGAGAAAUGGACCACACAAACUCAUACUCACAUAUAUAGUAGUAUAUAUACCAUCAGCGGCUGUAGAUUUAUCAUCUUUUUGCUGUAAUGAUACAGGCUAGACACCUUUUAGGCUGGUGUCUCUUGGCCUUUGUUUGCAAUAAUUCACGAAAAUAGUUGCUGAGAAAUUUUUUUGGUUGAAACUGAAUUUGACCUAUCAUAUAUGUAUAUAUAUGCAUGUUAGCUACUCCCUAGGCACACUGGCUAGCUAGAUGGAAUCAUGUGUUUUUUGGUGAAAAUCUUGGGCAAAAGCUGUUAGUUAACAUGGACUUCACAAUCCCUAUACUUGGUAAUUUUGCAGUGGAAAUUCUCUCUUUUCCAUAUAUGUGUGUGUGUGUGUGUGUGUGUGUUUGUGUAGGGGCGCAUUUUAGGCUAAAGCUUUGUGUUACGAGUAGGGAUGUAUUCGAGCCGAGUCAAGAUUGAGUAUUGCUAUACUCAAGCUCGACUCAGCCUAUAAUAUAAUUAUACUCGACCUCGAUUGAAUCGGAGAAUCUCAACUCGAGCUUGACUCGAGUAAAUCUUUAAAAACUUGAGACUCGACUUGAUAAGGCUCGACUUUGAGUCAAGCUUAUCGAGUUGAGUAAACUGAUCAAUCGAGCUUUUUGAUCAAUCUUGUAAAUUCAGUAUAAAUUAUAUCCAUUACGGUCAUUUUACAAUUAUAAUACAUAUAUAUUAUUUAAAUUAUAUCUAUAUUGUUUAAAUUAUACUACUCAACGAGUAGCUCGUCAAGUCAUGAACUGUAAAAAUCAAAGCACCCGAACUCGACUUGAAUGUAUACUCGAGUAAAUCGAGACUCAGCUCGAACUCAGUUAAACCGAGUUCGAGCCAAGUCAUUGACUGAAUUGCAAGCGAGCCGAGCUAGUUACAAGAUAACAUGGCGCUUCAGAAGUUCUUUUACUUGGAUUCAUGCACAAUAUAAGUAUUUUUUUUUUCUGAUUUAGAUGACAAGGGAAGGAUGCAUUGAGGAUAAAAUGUUACAUUUAGACGCAAUGAUAAAAGGAUGCAAAUGAUAGCUUAACCAAUUAUUCGAGUUCUAGAGAUAAAAUCUUGUUCAAAUUACUUAAAAAGAAAAGAAAAGAUUUUUCUAAAAUUAGUUGUUAAAUCAAGACACUAUAAAAUUUAGUACAUGUUACCUUUUUAGUCUCACUCAAUCUUACAGUGAUAAGUACAAAAUAAGCAUCAACCUACUCAAAUUUGGCUUAAUAAUGUUCAUCUUAAAGCCUUUGCAUCUAACUAAGCCACAAACUUAAACAUUCAUUUCGAAAUUAUUUAAAAUUAGAACUAAACUUCAACAUAAAUAGGAUUUUUUCCCUAAUGGUAGCAAUAUUAGCGCAUCACUUUUGUCACUGACGCCCCACAAUUUUUUACAUGUUAAAAAAUGGUCAAGAAUGACCCUUUAAUCUUAUAUGUCAUCAUUUGAGAACUGACUCAUACAUAUUUUCUUAAAAUUAAAGGAAUUUGAAAAAUAUAAUAAUGUAUGUAUCACUAGGAUUAUUCCAUUUGGUGUUGCAGUACUUUUGCCGAAAAGAUGGCGGUCAUUAUUUGUUAGAUUUAGGAGUAGAAUUUUUUAUCUUUAAAGCACUUCUAACAUAAAUUCAAAAUUAGUGCUUUUAGAAUACAUUUUAUAUUUUUGCAAAUAAAAAUAACUUUCAACCAUUUUAUCAUAACUUUGAAUUGAAUAAAGAGAUAAGAAUAUUUCAAACACUUAAAACUAAACAUUGUGAAACACAAACUACACUUAUGUAAGUAUGUAUCCAAAAUAUAAUUAAGCUAAUGAUACCUAAUUAAUCAAAUGCUACAAACAAGUGAAUCUAACGUCCCCGAAAUAACAAUAGCUGAAUCUUGUUCCAUGAAUUCUUUUGGGUUGAAAAGUAAAAGAAAAACAAAUUGCCUACAAAUUCUUAUCUCUCAAAGAUUUUGAGGGUUAUUAUAAACAUAUUGUAUCGUCUGGCAUAUGCAAAAAAAAAAAAAAAAAAUCAACAAAUUAAGAAGCCAUGAAUUAAAAAUUACAAGUCUUUUGAUGUAUGAUCAGAUACAUACAAGAAAUAAAUAUUUCGAUGAAAUUUUCUUUUUAAAGUGAAUUAGCAUUGUGUAGUUGCAAAUUUUUUACUGCAGUGGCAUGUCAACUUCUCAUUACAAAAGAUGAAAGGCCUACGGACAGCCCUUUUUGCCUAUUGUGAACUGAGGCUACAACAAGGACACCAAAAGUUUUUAGAAAGAACGGAACCUUUUAAGUUUUGGUGAUCGGUCAGGGAAAAUUUUUAAAUUUUUUUUUUUUUGCCAGAACACAGAAUGUAAAUAUUAAGCCAAAUUAAUUUCUUCCUCACAAAAGUAUAUUUUGGCUUAAUUUCGCUGUUAAAUCAAGACAAAGCAAAACGCCCUUAGCCUAAUUCACUAAAUAACUAUUCUAUGCCGUGGUCUUUUUUUUUUUUUUUUUUCAUAUCUAUCUCAUAGUCAUAGUCUUGCCAAAUCUGUAUUUUGGUAAAUCAGAACGAAAAAGAAUACAACAAAAUUAUCUUGGUGGAGAUAAUAAUCUGUAUAUCCUUUGGGAUCUUGCUGAAAUUUCUGCUUACUAGAACCCGGUUGAAAAUCGAAAAGACCAAAAUAAAAAAAAAAAAAAAUUUUUUGGUCAUGGAAACCUAGAAUGACAAAGGACGAAAAAGAAAUGAAAGAAGAAAAGAAUUUAGUUCACUUAUUGCAGUUGAGAAACCAAACCAAACCAAAAAAAGAAAAAGAAAAGAAAAGAAAACCCACUAUUGAAUUGUACUAACGGUAGCCAUAGCAAAAUUAUAAGCUUUGAUACAUACAAAGGCCAUAGAAAACUAUGCACUAAAAUAUUCAUGAUUCAGCUACAACUAAAAGAUGUACCGAUUCCCCUAGCUAGGCUUGACAACACAGUGCAGCUUCCUCCUCAAUAAUUCUAAGUAUGUGGUGAACUGCACCAGCUAUGUCAUCUGCUGAAUUUAGUAAACAGCCUUCUUCCACCUGUAACAUGACAAAUCCCAAAAUUUAGCCCCCCAAAAAAACCCUCUCAUUAUUUUGCCUAAAUUGUAAAAAUACAAAAGUAAGUCACUCAGAAGUGUAAAAAUUUGAGGAUACCAUUUCUUAUGAUCAUCAAUGACCCCUAACAUAUCCCUUCUAAAUAGGCUAGAGUAAGAGUAGGGGCAGGUGCAGAUGCAGAGUAGACAAAUGUCAAUCGACCCAUAAAAAAAAAAAAAGAAAAAAGACCACAGCCUAACAUAUACCGUUGGAUAAAAGACCACUGGAAUGCCCAAUAUACCCAUUGCACUAAGUUUAACCUGUCUAUUCUAUAGAACCCAAUGGUCCAUGAUUUCUUCGAAUAGUAACUGCAGCAUGUGUAAACUUUAAAGUGGCAGCUAGCAUUCUCUAGUCAUUUUCUGCAAGAAAUGUUUGUCAAUAUCCAUCAAUGUAACAUAUCUGAAAUAGAUGCAAUUUUAUUUCAGGACUCACUCUUCAGAAUUAGGUAAGGGUCGAUAACGGUGUCCUGGACAGCAACACUAGCACGUUACCAACCAUUGCCUCAAAUGCAUAAGAAUAGACAAGUACUAGAUGUUAAGGUACCUUAGCACUGAUGGAGUAUAGGACCAAAGGGUCCAAAGUUGUGAUAUUUAGGUGAAGGAUGGUGAGGUACAGCGUCUGUAGGCCGGUAACCAUUUUGGAGAGCUGUCUAACUCUUCUUCUUGAAAGGAUUCUAACGUUUGCAUGAGUUUCAAUCAAAGUGACUUCAAUAUCUGCAAUUGCUGCCUUGCUCUUGGAUGUGUACUUGUUUGGCAAUUGGGCUGAGCAUGUGUAUUGAGGGUAAGCGAAAAAUUGAGCAAAUGGGGUUGGAGCUGGAGGAAAACACUUGUUCCCGGUGGCCGUGGCAAUGGCUGCGGCCAUGGUGGUGGUGGUCUUGUCAUUUGCUCCUCCAUGUUGCUGUAAUAGCAAGAACCUUUGUGCUUCAAGGGAUUGCAAGUGAUGCUCAAGCUCCUUCACAAAUUCUAUAGCACCACCAACUAUAGAGGCCUGGUCACCCUGCAAAAACCAAUCUUUUCUUAUAUUUAAUCUCGUGAUUAUUAAAGUGAAUAAAUUGAAUCUUUUAAAGUAGCAUGAACAGCCAUAAAAAAAAAAAAAAAAAGGUGGCAUGCAAAAACAGUGAAAAUUCUUAUUUCGAGAUUUGAAAGAAGCUUACAUCCAUCAUUUUUAUUGUGUACCAUCUUAACUUUUACCUGGACAAGAAAAGUACAUACAAGAAUGGACAAAAUUUAAAAAAAAAAAAAAAAUCUAAUGACAACCAAACGACCAUAGCUGCCAGGAUUGCCAUUUUCAAAUCAUUGAAAAUCAGCCACAAAAUUUGGCUUCUUCAAGUAUCAGAGACACCUGCUUAAGAACCUGUCUUAUUCUACAUUGCAAAUACAUGAAUGUUGAACCCCGUGCUGGAACGGGAAUCUUCACAGACACAAAAACAAGAACGAGAAAGAAUAUUUUGUUUUGUAGCAAUCAUGCUGGUAAUGAGAACGGGCUAGUACUCAGAAGGUCAACAGAAAAAAGCAUAACCUGUCAAGAAACAAUAAAUGCAUGCCUCAAUUAGAAAUUGCAAAUUAAAAUUAAACCUCACCAAUUAAUUGACUACUAUUCAAAUGGCAAAACAAAACCAAAAAAAAAAAAACGGACUAAGGGAAUCUCAUCUCAUCUUAAAUUUGAUUAAUAAAAUCAAUUGCCUCGUCAAAAGAGAUUCCAAUUCCCAAUUUAUAAACCUUACAAACCCUAAAAAAAAAAUUUAUUUAGAGAAGAACGAAGAAGAAAAAAAAAUUUAUACCCUUUGAACAUAGGAUUCUGGCAUGAGAGCACGCAAGACAGCAAGAUGUUCAUUCAUUUGUUUACGACGGUUUCUUUCAACAGCAAUGUGAGUCAUCCUUUGGGUCUCAGCUUCCUCUUUAUUCUUGCAAACUCUUUGCCUUCUCCUCCUCUUCUUCCUGCCUUGCACCGCCAAACUAUUCUGCUGCCUUUGCGACUGCACGGGAGGCGGCGGAGGCGGCAUGCAAGAACAAUUUUCUAAACCCCCACCAGCUUCGGCACCCCCACAAUUAUCAGUUUUCAGCCCUCCAUUGUCCAGCAAGAAGUUGGUAGAAUUCUCAUGACAAGAAUUAUUGCUGUCAUUGCUGCUGAAAGGGGUGGCGGAAAUGGUGUCAUAGAUGAUGAAAUUCAGGAGUUCAUUGGAGGAAAGAGCUUCUAGAGCCAUCAUCCCUCUUCUGCACUCGACCCAACUGUUGCUUUUGUGGGCAGAUGAUGAAAAGAUUACUCGAACCCUCGAGUCUCCCAAUACUUCUCCUACUGUUAAUACUACUAUUUUGACUACUGGAGUUGUUGUUAUUAUUAAAAAGACAUCAUAUCAUUCCAUUUUAUAGCAAAAGCAAAAACCCUCUAUUAUGUUACUAUGACUUAUGACUUGUACUGUUGAGAGUUGAGAGAGAGAUUCAGAGGAGACUUCCUUUUUCCUUUACACUAACUUUUUGGGAUGCAGAGAAAAGCUCAAAAAGCACACACAAGACUUGAGCAGUAACCUCUCACGUGCAUGUAUGAGACUAUUUGUAAUGGAUGAAUCCUUCCUUGCUUUAUCAUUCUACUCUUUUUUUUUUUUCCUUUGGUUACUGUUUAUUUACUUGGUUUUUGUUUUAUAACUCUAGAAGGAUAGAUAGAAAAGUUAGGAGACAAACACAAUUAGACACGUAUACAAUACGAUCAUACGCCACUUAUAAAAUUUAAUCGCACAGAUUGUUCACUGAUACAGUUGUUACAUCGAUAGCAGAAUUCAGAAAUACACUUCAAACUUUUUUAUUUGUCGAAAAAAAAAACAAAUUACACAAUAGUUGAGGAAAAUGGUUUUUUGUUUUGGUUUCCAAUUUUUUCAUGGAUGCUGUCAAAACAUACUGCCAAGGUGUCUGCAAGUGAGGAGUGUGAGCGUGGGGGGACCCAAAUCUAUGUAGAAAUAUGCAUAAAAACAAGAGAACAAGCUGUGCAAAAGCUACCCUUCACGUUCAACAUUUUUUAUUUCGGUUUGGGUUGGGAUUUGCAAGAAACGACUGGUGCACCGCUCGCGCCACACUCAGACACUCUAGAAAAUUGAGUAUUAUGUGAUUCCGUCUGUGAAGAACUGGCUAAUUGCAGUUCUAGUCCACUCUCCUUUUGUUUUGUGUUUCAGCCUAGUCCCAUUUUUAUUCGGUAUUAUUGGAUUUAGUCCCCUAUUUCUUUUUUAUUUGUUUUAAUUAAUGAGUCCUAGUAUGAGCACUUGAAAAGUGCUUAACCAAAGAGUGUUGAUAUUAGGUUGAUAUUAAAUGAAACUCUGCUAGAAAGAAAUUCAGAUUAACAAUGAGAUACUAGCAUUUUACCUACAUUUUGUGUAUGGGCAUGGCAGCUUUAACAUGUAAGGUAAAGACUCAAUAUCACUAGCAACUAGAGAGAAGGAAAAGUGGUACGAUAUAUUACAUUAUUAAAACAUUGAUCAGUCAAGAACAACAUUUGCCCAAAAAAAAUGGAUUGACUCUGAUGUCCGAUCAUUAAGAGCUUUUUGAAGUUAAAAAAAAAAGUUAAGUUGAAAUCUUAACGGUUACAGCAGUAAAAACUAUAAUUUACAUUUUUUUGAUGUAUAAUAAAAAUUCAUAAGUACACACUUUAAACAAAGAAUAAUUGUAUCGAGCACUAUCACGAGUCAGUUAUUCCAAGCAAUUGCCACUUAAUAUAUACUUGUUUGUUCCUCAAAUAUAAAGAGCUAGAUUACCACUUGUGCCUCAACUUUAGCUAAAAUUGUAGAGGAUUAAAUGUAAAAGACCAAAUGCUCAGGGACUCAAGUGAGAUUGAGUGCAAAUAUAAUGAUUAAAGAUGUAAUUUUCCGGAUACUACAAAAAGUACUGCAAAGUAUGUGUCUAAAAAAAUGUUUGGGCAGAUUACAUUCACCACCGAUCGAUAGUCAACAAAGUAAUGCUUAAACAAUUCAACCUUAUCAUUGAGAGCCAUUUCUAUGCUUCAUAUAUAUUAUCAGAUUCAGAUGGUGAAUGUUAUCUACUUUGAAGAAGAGGGGAUUGCAACAUAAUGGAUAACACACAAAGCCUAUCACUCCAUCAAUAUCCCUUUUGAAGGGAGGUGCCCCUCCACACCCAUUUCCACCGUUUUGUUCUUUUGGGAGGUUCUUGGAAAGGGCUUUAGCUCUUGACUCGAAACGUGGACAUCGACACAGGAAGGGCAAUGUUACGUCCAUUCUUUGACCUGUUACUAACAAACAUGGGAAAGGAACAAGUGGAAGUACUGCAAUAGAGAAAACUUCAACGAUUAUAGGGAAGUUAGAUUUUUUUUUUCUUUUUAUCUUUUUGGUUGCCAAUAAUUUGUUGAUAGAGGAUAUGAAAACAAAAUUUAACCCACUGGGUAAUAAAGUGAAGAAGAUCAUUAAUGACAUUAAGAACUACACCGGGCACACAUUCGAUUUUACCAUCAUUUCUGCCAAGAAUCUUCCAGUCUGCACCAUACAACAAACUUCCAAACUAUGCAUGAUUACUGAUUUGAAGUUUCGUGCUUGAUGAUUGAUGUACAAGGAGAGGCAUUUAUGGUCGAUUCUGUGCGCCUUAUCUUCAAUAACAUCGCCUUAAAAAGAAAUUCGUGAAGGCUUGUUUCAAUUACAAAGAAACAAAAGUCAUAAUUUACGAGGAUAAAAUUAGCUACAAACAGAUGAUACGUGAAGUACUACUACUUCGUAGCGGAUUCUAAAGGGUUAAAUUCUUGCAAAAAGUUGAAGGGUCAAAUUUUAUAACUGAACGUGUUCUCUAGAGAGACGAGAAACAUUGCCAUUGUUUUGGUUCCCUCUAACAAGAUGCUUUCGUCGACCUAUGGAGAUGUGCAGUCCUCAGUUUGGUCCCAAACAUGCAAAUUGACGAGCCUACAUACGUAUAUAUUUAUUUGGUUGGAGAGAAAUUUCAAACCCUACAAGAGCAAAAGGAAAAGAUGGAAUUUUGAAAUCGAAACAUAAACCUCGCGGUCACCUGACUAAUGUGUCAAUCAACGGAACUGGAUCUUGAGAUAACUGCGAUUUAUUUGCAUGAAUAUCAUGUGGGUUAUGGUGCCAAGUACUUUGCUAGGGUAAUACUAAAGCGACCAGCACACUAUGCACAUAGCAUUAAACGAGAACAAGAAUUGUCAUAACAAGAAAAACUAGUUAACCAUUAACCUGAUGUCCAGAUCCUAGAACGCAAUCAUAGGCUCUUAGCUAUUGAUACUUGCGGACUAUUGUAUCUACUCAAUCAUUUAAGAAUGCUCAAGAAAAUAUUGGGUUUUGGGUACCCAACCAUCUGAACAAGCUUGGUUCAAGCUGCUGAGCUUUCUCUUUUACGUUUAAUUUUCCUUUUCGGACCAAUCACGAAGCAUGACACACUGGAAGUCCGCUGUUUUGGUUGCCCAGUUUGGGUUGCAUUUUCUGUAGAAAGAAGGACACUAUAACUUUUUUUUUUUUUGGAGAUAUGAUGUAUAUUAGGUAAAAAAAUGAUUGAGAAUUAUGUUGGAAAAAAAUAUUUCCAAAAAACUCCGUCAAAGAUUCUUUUUUUCUUUCACAAAACAUGCAAUCCAAUCUUUUGUGGAUGAAGAAAGUAAAUGUCCAUCCAAAUGCAGCAAUAUUUUUCCCGAGUCUGGUUAAACCGUCAUGUGUUUUAUUAAGGAUGAUAGAAUUUUCACCCAUCAAAGCAACCCCAACAGGGUUCUCAAAUCCAAAUUCGAAAAGUAGGCCUUUGAAUUUAUCUAUUUUAGUUGCCUUUUAACAGUUAGAUCCCAAUAUCAAUGGCGUUUACCUUUCACUUCUUAUUUUAAUCAAUCCAUAUGUUUUCCUGCAGACAAUAUGUAGAUGUCAUUUUAUAAAAUUUGAGAGAUAAAAGGUAUUUCGACAGUCUCAUUUUAGGGAUCAUUUUGUUAAGCAAACUCAAAAAAACAGGUGGGAUAUGUACAUUUUAAUUAAAAGAGAUCUACAAUCAAAAUCAGUUUAUGUGCAUUUUGACAACGUGGUUUCUGCAUCUUUCAAAUGCUUAUAACUUUGUAACCAAUAAAGUAGUUGGCCACCAAUAAAGUCUUAAAGUUCUACUUCAAUGUAGGUCAAGGAAUAUAUUCUAAAUCCAAGAUUUUCUGAAAAAAUUUCGCCAACGGAUGGAUAGACACUCGUUUGGAACGAUAAUGACUUAGUUCUCCCAAGUUCCUCCCUCGACCCCUUUGAAUCCCCUCUCUCCCUAGUAUAGAGCAGUGGUAGGUAUAAAUCCAAGAUUUACUAGAAAAAUUUCACCAGCUAAUACGUAAGCACCCGUCAGGACUGGUGUUAGUUCAAUCCUCUUGGAUUUUCCCUUGACCUCUUUGGAUCCCCACAUCCCCUAGUAUAGAGUAGGAGUAGAUAUAGAUUAGAAUUUAUCGUGUCCGGCAAAACAAAAAAAAAAGUUGAUAACUUCAUAGUUCCAAAUAAAAUGGAUCUAAUGUAUGCCCAUAAACAUUCACGCAAAGGAUAAAAAAAGUAAUUAGACAGCUCCAAGUCAGGACUAGAUCUCCACAUGCAAGAAAGAUUUUUAUAAUUCCGGUGAAAUCACAUCAUAUUACCAAAUUAAGUAGAAUUCCAACCAGUGAAUUGUACAAGAAACGAACACAAGAACAUAAAGCAAAUUUGCAGCAAUCAACCCAAAAAGUUCUUAGUUACAUCUCAUCAGACCUGAUCAAAAAGUUAAUCAAAGCCGAAGUUGCCCAAAUGGACUCAACCGGACAGAGCAAAUAAACAAUGUUGUCAGUAUGAGAAGGGAAACAAAGCAAAAACACUGGGAACUGUAGCCUUAUCUGGAGAUGAGGGCUGAUGAGUGAUGAGAGAGAGAGAGAGGUUUGCGAGGACCACGGUCCAACCUGUCAGAGGCUCUGCAGGGGAAUCCAUGUGACGACCAGCCACCUCUUGGAAAGUACAUAUUUACCAAUCAUCCACAAAUAUAUAUUCACAUUGAAGUUAAAACUCUCUUUAAAAUUUGCUUUUGACCCAAGAAUGGAAGGGAAGGAAUACAUAUUGGCCAAUGCCUUUUUAGGCUUCAGCUCAGCCUUUAGUGUCCUUUUACUUUUUACUCUACUACUGUCUAGUAGUAGUACACUGUAGUACUGCUUAAUGGCUUUGUGGGUACGGAUAAAAUGCAAUCUAGCAUAGUAGCCAUGCACAAACAAUAAUGUUAGGAGAGAAAAGAACGUACAACCCAAACUCUAUGAGUUGUACGUGUACACAAACUCCUUAUAGGCAAAUGAUACUUGAGCUUAUGCAAUAGGCAAUUCAACAAGCAGAGAUGCAUGUGAACUUCAUUGUGUGGGCAACUUCGUUGAUGGGUUGGACACAAUUGUCUCAACCAGGUACUGAAACCCCCAAAGAUUUGAAGUCCAUUCAAGUCAAAGGGAACUCCUUGAGAAGCAAAUUUUUGUAGAACAUAAUUGUGACUGCCUCGUGGAUAUGAAAGUUACAUGGUAGAGAUAAAAUAAGCAAACUACAAGUUUAAAAGUUCAAUUGUGGCCCAAAAAGCAGUUAGGAUUCAAUUGGCAAAGCGGAAGCAAGGUCCGCUACCAAAAUUUCAACUUGACGCCAAAGAAGUAUGCACAUCCAACGAAAGCACAUAAAGUAAAUUGAUAAAGAAGCAGGAUGGCAAGGGCAGUGGCUGGUGAAACAAAGAGCGUGUCAAUGGACAAGUUCACUAACCCCGUCAGCACAUUAGCCUGCACCAUAAAGGCAAAUUUCAUUCCCUUGCGUCCAGUGGAACUCUAGAAACGCACCAGAUAUCUAAUAUCAAAAGAAAAUUGAAAUUAGGAAGCUUUUGCUCACCAGAAGAAAAGAUGCCAAUAGGUUUCGGUUAAAUGCUUCUUCCAGAAUGGAAAUUCUAUUUCCAGGUAUAUAAUCAGAAAGUGUUAAUAUGGCUAGUACCUGAAAGUUUGUAACAAACAUCAUUAAAAUAUAUCUUGUUCAAGGAGAGAUGCAAUAAGGAGCCUUUAAGAUGCCAAACAAGAUAUAAAAAUUUGAAAGCAGAAGUACAGCAACAGACAUAUCUGUACACGUGUGUAUGGGCACACACACACACACACAAAACGCGGAAAAUGUCUACAACAAACAAGUGAUUCUAACCAUUUCCAAUUCCCUUCCGCUACCCCCACACUUCUUCCGUCCUACACUUCUAAGAACAAAAAAUGCUCAUGCAGUCCUCAAAAAUAACAAAAAUGUCUAUCUAAAGAACGUUAUGGCCAAAUAAAAACAACCUGCAAGCUCCACAGAAAUCAAUAGCAUGUCAUUCUAACGUGAUUCAUUAUAAGGAAAAAUCGAUUGUCCAGAUUAUGUAAGUAUAGUGAAUUCGGAGUUGAGGUGGUCCAAAUCAAAGGAUUCCAAUAUGUAUACAAGAAAAAGAAGCUACUCCACAUCGAGCAAUUGCCCAUCAAUUGGCUUAAUUAAUCUAAUGAGAUUAUCAAAUAAUGAUGAAACAAAACCUAAUUUGACUUGAAGGUCAAUAACACAGUUUCCAGUUUGACAACCUCGACUUGUCAUGACUCAACAGAAAUAUAUAUUCCAGGCCCUCAUUUGCUCACUACAAGUAUCCCUCCAGCCCGCCAUACUGUAACUUACUACCUCAGCAAAAUACUAUUCAAAUAGUCAACCAAUAUCUCCAAACCUAAUUCAGUCACAGCAUUGAUUGCUCUUAUAUAUCAAAUAGCCAUGAGAACACUACAAUUAACUUAUUUUAAUAUUUUAUUACAUGUUUAGCUGAAAGUACCUUGCCUAUUAGUUUUGCUGCAGUACAUAUCCAAUCUGAACACAAUUUAAUGUUGUUUAUUACUAAGGGCAAAUGGAUAUACAUCCAAUGUCUAGGUGAUCCAACUCAAGCAUCACAUAAUCAAUGUUUGAGGUUGCAAGCAUAUCAUGACCAGCAUACUUUGCACAUAGCAUUAAACGAUUAACCAUUAACCUGAUGUCCAGAUCCUAGAACGCAAUCAUAGGUUCUUAGCUAUUGAUACUUGCGGACUAUUGUAUCUACUCAAUCAUUUGAGAAUGCUCAAGAAAAUGUUGGGUUUUGGGUACCCAACCAUCUUAACCAGCUUGGUUCAAGCUGCUGAGCUUUCUCUUUUACGUUUAAUUUUCUUUUUCGGACCAAUCACGAAGCAUGACACACUGGAAGUCAGCUGUUUUGGUUGCCCAGUUUGGGUUGCAUUUUCUGUAGAAAGAAGGACACUAUAACUUCUUUUUUUUUUUUUUUUGGGAGAUGUGAUGUAUAUUAGGUAAAAAAAUGAUUGAGAAUUAUGUUGGAAAAAAAUUUCCAAAAAACUCCGUCAAAGAUUAUUUUUUUCUUUCACAAAACAUGCAGUCCAAUCUUUUGUGGAUGAAGAAGGUAAUUGUCCAUCCAAAUGCAGCAGUAUUUUUCCCGAGUCUGGUUAAACCGUCAUGUGUUUUAUUAAGGAUGAUAUAAUUUUAACCCAUCAAAGCAACCCCAACAGGGUUCUCAAAUCCAAAUUCGAAAAGUAGGCCUUUGAAUUUAUCUAUUUUAGUUAGUUGCCUUUUAACAGUCAGAUCCCAAUCUCAGUGGCGUUUACCUUUCACUUCUUAUUUUAAUCAAUCCAUAUGUUUUCCUACAGACAAUUUGUAGAUCUCAUUUUGCAUAAUUUGAGAGAUAAAAGGUAUUCCCGAAAUUCUCAUACAAGUUUCUUUAGGGAUCAUUUUGUUAAGCAAACUCAAAAAAACAGGUGGGAAAUGUACAUUUUAAUUAAAAGAGAUCUGCAAUCAAAAUCAGUUUAUAUGCAUUUUGACAACGUGGCUUCUGCAUCUUUCAAAUUUGAUAACUUUGUAACCAACUACUCCUAGACCCUUUGGCCACCAAUGAAGUCUACUUGAAUGUAGGUUAAGGGAUGCAUUCUAAAUCCAAAAUUUUCUGAAAAAAUUUCGCCAACAAAUGGAUACACUUUGGACCGAUAAUGACUUAGUUCUCCCAAGUUCCUCCCUCGACCCCUUUGAAUCCCCUCUCUCCCUAGUAUAGAGUAGUGGUAGGUAUAAAUCCAAGAUUUACUAGAAAAUUUUCACUAGCAAAUGUGCAAGCACCCGUCUGGAUUGAUGGUGAUUCAAUCCUUUUAGCUUUUCCCUUGAUCUCUUUGGAUCCCCACACCCCCGUAGUAUAGAGUAGAAGUAGAUAUAGAUUAGAAUUUAUCGUAUCCGGCAAAACAAAAAAAACAAAGUUGAUUACUUCAUAGUUCCAAAUAAAAUGGAUCUAAUGUAUGCCCAUAAACGUUCACGCAAAGGAUAAAAAAAGUAAUUAGACAGCUCCAAGUCAGGACUAGAUCUCCACAUGCAAGAAAGAUUUUUAUAAUUCCGGUGAAAUCACAUCAUAUUACCAAAUUAAGUAGAAUCCCAACCAGUGAAUUGUACAAGAAACGAACACAAGAACAUAAAGCAAAUUUGCAGCAAUCAACCCAAAAAGUUCUUAGUUACAUCUCAUCAGACCUGAUCAAAAAGUUAAUCAAAGCCGAAGUUGCCCAAAUGGACUCAACCGGACAGAGCAAAUAAACAAUGUUGUCAGUAUGGAAGGGAAACAAAGCAGAAACACUGGGAACUAUAGCCUUAUCUGGAGAUGAGGACUGAUGAGUGAUGAGAGAGAGAGAGAGGUUUGCGAGGACCACGGUCCAACCUGUCAGAGGCUCUGCAGGGGAAUCCAUGUGACGACCAGCCACCUCUUGGAGAGUACAUAUUUACCAAUCAUCCACAAAUAUAUAUUCACAUUGAAGUUAAAACUCUCUUUAAAAUUUGCUUUUGACCCAAGAAUGGAAGGGAAGGAACACAUAUUGGCCAAUGCCUUUUUAGGCUUCAGCUCGGCCUUUAGUGUCCUUUUACUUUUUACUCUACUACUGUCUAGUAGUAGUACGCUGUAGUACUGCUUAAUGGCUUUGUGGGUACGGAUAAAAUGCAAUCUAGCAUCGUAGCCAUGCACAAACAAUAAUGUUAGGAGAGAAAAGAACGUUCAACCCAAACUCUAUGAGUUGUACGUGUACACAAACCCCUUUUAGGCAAAUGAUACUUGAGCUUAUGCAAUAGGCAAUUCAACAAGCAGAGAUGCAUGUGAACUUCAUUGUGUGGGCAACUUCGUUGAUGGGCUGGACACAAUUGUCUCAACCAGGUACUGAAACCCCCAAUGAUUUGAAGUCCAUUCAAGUCAAAGGGAACUCCUUGAGAAGCAAAUUUUUGUAGAAACAAUUGUGACUGCCUCAUGGAUAUGAAAGUGACAUGGUAGAGAUAAAAUAAGCAAACUACAAGUUUAAAAGUUCAAUUGUGGCCUAAAAAGCAGUUAGGAUUCGAUUGGCAAAGCAGAAGCAAGGUCCGCUACCAAAAUUUCAACUUGACGCCAAAGAAGUAUGCACAUCCAACGAAAGCACAUAAAGUAAAUUGAUAAAGAAGCAGGAUGGCAAGGGCAGUGGCUGGUGAAACAAAGAGCGUGUCAAUGGAUAGGUUCACUAACCCCGUCAGCACAUUA
rnacentral:lncRNA from 1 species